rnacentral:lncRNA from 1 species
GCAAAAAGAAAGGUUUAUAAUAUUUUUGAAUUUUAAGCAACCAAAGGAAUGUAAGUAGGGCAUGUGUUUGUAAGUUUAAAAAUGCCUCAACCACUUAAAUUCCCAAGUAAAUAAAGCUGUUUCUAUUUUUGGUACAGGUAAACUUUAUAGCGUGUGGGCUCAUGCAAUUUUGAACCCAAAAAUGCACCAAAAAAUACUCGACUAGCAUUAUUCUUUGAAUGGCGUGUGGCCUUAUAUUGCCAUAAAUGGACGUACACACACAGCAUAAUUAUUCCUUUACACGGCGAAUAAUCUUAGCGCGGAUCGCUGACAUGGCAUGGCAAAGUUCGAAUCACUGACAUGGCACAGCUGGAUCGAGGCAAGAACAUGAUGUGACAAAGUUCAACCUCCGACAGCAAAGUCUAGAAGCUACUCAGUUUGAAAUUUGUCAGAGGAAUCAUAAGAUCUGGUUUGUCAGAGGAUUUGAUGUGACGUUCAAGCGUGUGUUAUUUUUGAAUUCUGGAACUCAUUUCUAGGUCUAUCAUUUUUGUGCGCCGUGUUCUUGGUUCCGCUGAGCGCAGUAAGCGCUGCUUGUGUAAGCGGCGUUGUGAGCUGUGGUUUAUGCGUCUACAAGCGGUUGCGGCAUUGCGAGCGCCAUUGCGAGCGGCAGUUUAUGCGAGUGGCAGUUUGUGCGAGCGGCGCUACGAGCAAUUGCGGUGUUGCGAGCGGUGCUAUGAGUAGUUGCGGUGUUGCGAGCGGCACUAUCUUUGGUGUGGCUACCGCUUCCUCUUGAUAUUCGGCACUUGUGCUUCCUGGUAUGUUCACCAUGGAAUGGUUUAGGACCACAUUUAGGAAUGGCAUGAGGCCACAUGCCAUCUUGAGCCCUUGCAAUUUCAUGGCUAGCGUAUUGUCAUGUAUGUUUUUACUUGCCUGCAGCUGUGUGUAUAUCAAGAUGGCAUGAGGCCUCAUGCCAAUUUUGUGAAUGCGAAAUUUCACGUGGGUGUCAAUAGCAUGUUUGAAUAAUGGCAUGUGGCCUCAUGCUAUUUGGUAUGUUAUGAUUUAGGCCAUUCUCCAAUCAUUUUUUGUAUGGUCUUAACUUCUUUUUUGCACUUUCAGAAUGGCCUUUAGGGUUGGGGAAAAGGUUUACAUUUUGAAUGGUGGGAAGAGAGUUGCAAAAGAGACUCUUGUGUCUAUGGAUCGGAACUUUGUUAUACACUGUCAAAGGCUUGGGGAAGGCAAUGCUGCUGUAUCAGUAGAGACUAUCUUCGAUGGGAAUGUGGUCGCUAUUGAACGAGGAGAGAUGGUCGUCGGGGUAAAUGUUGUUGUUGCCUUGAAAAAUCUGCAGAAGAAAGCAGAUGUUGGGGACAGCGCAAGUGUGACGCAUGUUCCCUCCGUGGAUCUUAAGAACCGUGCUACAUGGAUUCAGGCAAAGGUGUUUCUAAACAACCCCGAGGGGGAAGUGGUAGCUGAGGGCUUAGCCACAGUUGUCGAUCCAAGAGAUGCGGUUGCUAAUCAAGAAUUGGGCUGGGAUGAUAUUGGAGUUGCGAUUUUAGAGGUUGUUGACACAGAAGAAAACAGUCUGACUAUUGGAAGCAUUGUGCGGUGGAAAUUGAGGCAUUUAGUGUUUGAGAAUGUGAAGGAUUCACAAUCAAACACCACUACAACUGAUGACAGAACAUCUCUUCAUGGGAAAAGAAAGUACACCUUCCUAUAGCGCAGCCAAAGGGAUCUGAGCAACGAACCGAAAAGGCAGAAAAUGGCAAUGGAGGUUCGAAUGGUUUCGACAGUUGCUUGUUGCAAGAGGAGGUGCUGUCAACAUGCUGAUUGGGAUGCUAUUGAAGAGGAGAGAGCAAGAUACAAGACAUUUUCCUGGAAGGCAGCUCGCAAUUUUGUGUAUGAGGCAUUACAGUCAUCUGUUGAUGCUUAAGAACAUCAGGUGGGGGGCAUGGUCUUCCAGAGGGGUUUGGUCUGCAUGAAGGCAUGGAGAAUCAUUUAUGGAGUCCCUCGAACCACAUUCUACAGAAUCAAAACUGAGUUCGAGGAACAAAGGGUUCAACAGGCAGUCCAUGGGAACGACGGUACGCACAAAACCAGGGGUCAUGUUGUAUAUGGAGAGGCAAUCUUCAAGAGGUUUGUCGAGACAUGUAGCGAGCAGCAACCACAUAAAACCCGCCUCUUGGAAGAUGGAACACGAGACACCCAACGAGUUCUCCCUUCCAUGUAUACCAAGGGGGCCAUAUUGGAAGAUGUGAAUCAGGAACUCCAGAGUAAUGGCUACAGGAAGCUGAGCCAAUCUAGAUUUAGUAGAUUGUGGAGCAACAGGUUCAGGGAUGUGAGUAUAGGAAAGUACUCCAGCUUUUCAAAGUGUGACGAGUGCACUGCUAUCAAAAUGGCUUUGUCGAAGAAUUCUUGCAGCGCUCAAGAGCGAGAGACGUUGGUUAGAAGGCGGCUCAACCACAACAUCGAGCAGAGAAGCUGUAGGACUGCAUAUUAUCAUAACAGGAUUCUCUCCAUGGAGAGACCUGACUCUUACCUCUUCAUCAUCCACGACAAAAUGGACCAGAAAAAGACUUGCUUACCUCGACUCAAUCCUACCCCCAAGGCAAUCUCUUCAUCCAUGCAGCUGCCUGUGUCUCUGUUUGGCAUAAUCGCUCAUGGGCAUGGUGCCCAGAACUAUGGGAACUUCUUUGUACCUCUAUGGGGUGGCGGGGGUGCAAACAUGAUGAUUGCGUCCCUAGCAAAACACUUAAGGUCUCUGCAAAGUGCGCAGACUGAGCUGAACGGCCAACCCUUGCAUAAGGCCCUUGUCGAUCGAACCCCAUACAGGGUUCAGCUAGAGGAGGAGCAAAGGCUUGCAGUAUCACGUGGGGCCCCAUGCCAUCCCAGUGAAUAUGUUGGCCGUUAGAUUGUAGGGUUAUCACGUGAGGCCUCAUGCCAUUCCGACGAGGCUGGUCGCCCGGUGAAUGCACAGCCUCAUCCAAACGAAGCAGAAUCUCAAGGAAGUUCUUGCGGCCGAUGUGGCCUUCCACCCCAUCUUCUGCUCCAAACAGACAAUGCUGGCAGUGAGAACAAAAACAUAUACGUCUUCACGUACUUGGCGAUGCUUGUUGCUAAAGGCAUAUUUGAAAUGGUUACACUUGGCUUUCUCAUGGUUGGGCACACUCAUGAAGACGUCGAUGCCAUGUUCAGUCACCUGGCAAAGUCCCUCCGGCGAUCCAAUGUCCUCACCCUCCCACAACUCUACGAUGAAUUCCAAAAUUGCAUCAAAGGCACUGUUGAAGCUGCACUUGUGACAGAGGUUCCAGACUUUAAGGGGUUUGUGAGAGGCUACAUCAAGGACGGAUCCGAAACGCUGAUUGGCCACUCCAAGCCUCUUCAGUUUCAUUUCAGCAUGCGUGACGGUGCUCUAGUGAUGAGGUACAAGAUGAGAGAAUGGGACACAGUGUGGCUGCCAGUGGAUGGCAUUGAACUCUUCAAGAGAAAUCCCAUAACUGGGGAACCUAUGAUUCCUCAGGGUUCCCCACGGCCGAUGCACCCGGAUGGACUCAAAGACCAGGAAAGUAUAGUGGCCGGGAUUAGACAGCAUAUUGCCUUCUGGAAGAGGGGGUUGGUGUUUGGUGGAGAAUCCUAUUUUAAGAGGUGCAAGCCUUUGCUCGAAUACUGGGAGAAGAUUAUAUCUGCUAUCCAAAAUGGGCCGGUUGUAUAUGAAGAAUUGGAAGAGUCCUUUUGGCCAGAACCCAGAGCACUAGAUAGUAGCAGAACAAUGUCCUUUGGAAAUGCAGUGACAGAUAACGAUGUUGAGGAUCACUAUUGUGGGCUGAGGAACAAGAAGCCAGAUUCAGCAUUCAAUCCAAUACAGGUCUGCAAAGGAAUGGUCGUGCUUGUCAGACCCAGUAAUAAAAAACAAAUGAUAUGGGUGGGGCGCUACAUCACUGAUGCAGAGGAGGACGCGGAAACUAACUCCUUCAAUGUAACUGUGGAGUGGUUCAAGCCAAAUUCCAGAUAUACGAAGGAUUGCCUAGAAAAGAGAUGGGUGCUGAAUCCAAGGGAUCCCAGCAUGAGCAUAUCGGUGGAUAAUGUUGUGCAUGGUUGGAUGUGGAAGUAGAGUGCCACCAUCACCUUGCCAGACCAUGCAAGAGAUGCAGCAAGAGCAUUCAUAACCCGGGUUCAAGGUGAGAUUCAUUAAUAUUCCUUUACUAAGUUUCUAAUGUAUUUUAUUUCAAGAUGAACAAUCCGAAUCUGAAUCAGAGGAGGCGUGAUGGCAUGGCGUGAUGGCGUGAGGCAUGAGGCGUGACACCAAAAAGGAGGUGUCCACUAGCGCUUAGGCUUAUAAUGGCGUGUGCCCUCAUGCCAUUUACUUGAUCACCAAAUACCUUUUUCCCUUUGCACUAGUAUAUCUUAAUACCAGUCUGAGAAAUAGAAUGGCAUGUGCCCUCAGGCCUUUUACUAAAUCACUUUUGAAAGAAAUGCAAGCCUCUAUGUCGUAAAAAAAAGGUACUAGAGAAAUUCCUUAAUAAUAUGAAUGUUAUUUAGUUUCAUGAAAAUACACUAAGGGUCAAAUGAGUUAAAUGACUUCUCUAGACUAGCAAUGCCUCUUGCUACACCUUCACAAUUAGAUUCGUUAGAAAAAGAUAACAUUGAAUAAUAUCUAAAUGUUCUCACCAUUAAGUUAUAUGUCUGGCUAAUAGGAAUGACGUUCAUCUUGGAAAGCUCACCACACGCUCAAUGAACAAACAAAUAGUGUGUGCGCGCAUGCCAUCGCUCUUCUUUAGCUUCAGAUUCGGCUUGUUCACCUUGACAAUGAGAUUUAUUAUACAACCAGAUGGACUCAGUCUGGACACAAAGUCACCGCGCUAGUCACCAUGCCCCAGAUAUGUCUAGCCCCUGGACAAAAAACAUAUAAUUUCACGUCAUUUUCAAAUACUUGAAAAUUUGUACCUAGUCCCAUUUUACUGAAUAAAUCCCAUUUUAACGAAAUAGAGCUUCCAUUCAAAUACUCCUGAAUGGUUCCAAUCUGCUUCAGCCUACUCAGCUCAUCCCUUAGAUGUAGAGUAGCAUUUGGAGGAACGUAAGUUGCGCGGAUCCUCGCCUUCAUCAUUUCCCAAGUGGCCACCGGUCCUUCGUUGGCCUCACUAUCAUUCUCCACCAAGACUUGGCAUUAUUUGCCAAGUAUGGUUUUGCACAUGGGACCUUCUCCGAGCUCGGUAACCGCAACGCUCGGAAGUAGUCCUCCAUAUCGUAAAACCAAUCCUCCACCACCUUAUAGUCGUUCACCCCCUUGAAGACCGGUGGGGGCUUUGGUUUGUACUUGGGAACUCCCUGAGGGACUGAUUCCACUUCGGUGUAUUCGACCUUGUCUGGUUUUGCCUCAGUCCCUGCCGAAGGGUCCACACCUUCUGCACUACCAACAUCUGCAGUCUUUCGCUUUUUCUUCCGCUUCUCGUCACGCUUUAGCUUGCGUACGAGAGUCUUUAGCAGGGCAUUGGUCUGUGCCAAUUGUCCUUCUAGAACGUCCAGUCGAGCCUUGGACAACCGAACCUCGCCACCGGACUCCUGUUUGGAAGUUUCCUCACUAGAGUCCUCAUGCAAGGAUUCCUCAUCCAUAGCCUCUUGUUCGACCGGAGGCUCCAGCUUUGGCAGAGGUUCUAUCUCUGCCUGGGUUCACUUACGCCCUGCCUUUGCCAUCUCCCAGCAAUCCGCUUCUAUCCUUCGCUAGAACUGAGGAAAAGGCUCUGAUACCAAAUCUAAGCCACAAAUUUCCUNNNNNNNNNNNNNNNNNNNNNNNNNNNNNNNNNNNNNNNNNNNNNNNNNNNNNNNNNNNNNNNNNNNNNNNNNNNNNNNNNNNNNNNNNNNNNNNNNNNNGGGGCCCCCCCCCCCCAGAGGGGGGGGCCCCCCCAAUGGGUUUCCUUUUGGGGAGGGGGGGUUUUUUUGAACCCCCCCCGGGGGGGCCCCCCCGGGCCCCCCCCAAGCCCUUGUUUUUUCCCCCCCAGGGCCCCUGGGCCCCAUUUUAACCCUAAAUCUAUUUGGGAACCCCCCCAAAAGGGCCCCCCCAGGAGGGGUUGGGGGCCCCCCCCCCCCCCAAAAAAUUUGGGGAAGCCCGGGGGGCCCCCCCCCCCCCCCCCCCCCCUUGGGAGACGCAUGCUUUGGGCUUUCACCCCUUGAGCUGUAUUAGUAUUUGGACUUAGUCUCAGAAUCGAUUUCGGACUCGAUCUCGGACCUGACUUCGGACUCAAUCUCGGACUCAAUUUCAAACUCGAUCUCGGACUCAACUUCGGACUCGACCUCGGACUUAGUCUCGGACCCGAUUUGGAUCUCGGACUCUGUCUCGAACUCAGUCUCGAACUUGGUCUCGAACUCGGUCUCCGAUUCAGCCUCAGCUCGAUCCCGGACUCUAUCUCGAACUUGGUCUCUGAGUCGGUCUUGGACUCGAUCUUCGACUCGAUCCCAUCCGAUGAACUCUUUGUCAUUUCGGUCAUGCUUUCGGGGAUCCUUUAGCAUACGACAUCUCGGGGAGUCGGUUCCUUACAAUUAAGUCUCUAAGAUAUUAUUGUCUCUGCCUUUGAUAUUGGCCAUCUAUUGAUCUUUGCAUUUGGGCUAGUAUAGGUAGACUGGCUUCAGCACUUCGUGUGCAUGGUGAAAUCUCUAGUCAUAGGGUAGCUACUGUCGACUGGUCACAUAACCCGCCUCUCUAUCAAUGUUCCUUAUUCCGUUCAAAGGGCGUGACCGUGUAAACAACUUUAACUACCUGUUUACAAUAGUCUAUCUAAACCUUACCGACAAGUUUGGUUUCUUUGCUCAAGAGGGUUAGGGCCUCUAGCUUCUCUCUCUAUGUCCCUGCAAGCAGGGGCAUAUCACACUUUUGUAAGUUGGGUGACACCCAGAGCAGCAAGGGUGGUUAACUCUGUUGGUCAUUUCCUUGUCAGCAAUGGCCAAAAGGUGUCUAAGUUAGUAGUGUAUCCGCAUUAGACAAUUAUUUAAGUUGGUGCAUUUCUCACAUAGUGUGAAUACCAUGAACUUUUUUCUGGAGUUGUUUCCUUGGUGGUAUUCUAAACUCGAGUAUGCAUUGAAGAGGAUGUCAAUAUUCCCUAGGGGGGGGAGAGUGUCGCGAAUAUGACUUCGGGUAUCAAAAGUUAUUUGUUGGCCAAUCCUUAUGGACACUCUUUUCUUACUACCACGACGGCAGGAGGUCGGUAUUGCCAGACCCAUUAUUAGUUCCCACUUGAGUUAGUUGAGAAACUGGUCAUUGACCGUGCACUUAAAUCGGAUAAACAUAAGGUAGGAACUCCUAUGUGUUUUUUGUUGAGCAUACUUGGCCCGGUUUGAGAAACUCUUGUCAUUGGCUUGCACUUGUUAGUAUCAAGAACCCUCGUGAUAUUGAGAUUGGUCCUCAAUAUUCGUUAAAUGAUAGCUUACCGUGUCUGCCAAACACCCUCACUAUCAUGCCCUUUGUGUUAGUUUCAUUUUGGUCCCAAAUGCUAUUUAUGGAAAGUGUCUAGAUUUGCUCAUUUGGCAUAUCUAUGAAAUGUAGAGAUUGUUUUGAACACAAUGGUGUUCAUCCCAUGUCUAAAUUCGCAUUCUAGCACCAUUCUAUAUUUAAUAAGUUUCAAACUUGUCCCAGAGACUAACUCUUGAUACUAAGGGAGGCUUAGGGUGAAAGCCCAAAGCAUGUGUUCCUUAAGGGGGGGGGGGCCUGUGGGGGGUUUCAAAAUGUAUAGUAGGAAUAUUGGGUAGGUCAGGCAUGGCUGAUUAACCUGAGGCAUAGUUUAGCUCUUGCCUACAUACCUGUUCUUGUUCUGCAUCCAGCUUGGGUCUAAGCUUAAGCUCUACACCAUGCUAGCUGGUGGAGUACCCAUAGGCCAUCGGUAUGCCGAAAUAGCACCAAACUCCAUUUGGCUCUGUUUUGCUUGCUAGUCCUGGCAUUGGGAUGCUGGUUGCUCUAGGACUAUUCCAAGUUGCACUGGGCUCCUGUCCCUUUGCUCCUUGGGCUGUAUGCUCAAGAGUUGCUUCGUGGUCCAGUUCUAUCACUCCUUGGCUCCAUACUUGGGGGUUUGGCAUCGUUCCUUUGUUCAGUGGCCCAAGGCCCUGAACCUCGGGUUCCACAGUACUGUCCUUUGGACAUGUGGCAUGUGACACAUGGCAUAUAAAGGGUUUAGGUUCUGCUUUGUGGUGUUAUCCUAUGGUAAAUCACCAUAGGAUAAAAGGUAAAAACCAUGUGCACUACAUCUAGCCAUUUAGCUUUUGCACUUGAUCCAAGUGCUCCAUAUGUCCAAUCCCACUAUAAACACCCAAAGGUACCAUUGACAUAUCAACGCGUUACACUAAAGCUAUGUCCAUUCACCUUUGUCUCAUUAAUAGUCUAAAACCACCCAUACCACAGACUCAUCUCCCAAAGACUAGUUCAUUUAUCUAUAAGUGAUCAUCCUUAACCAUACCUAAACACUCUUUAGAUGCCCGGAGACAUAAGGAACAUCCUUCCUAAUAUUCCUUUUUCGGUCCCCAUUAAGUCCCACUCCGCUCAUGGCAGUGCUCACCAACACUACUAUUGAGUCAAGACUUAAAUGCCUGACCACUAAGUCCCACUAACCUCUGGGAGUUCCUCACCAUAUGACUGUAUCUUUAGUUACUACAUAACAGAAUUGCUCCUCUUUUUUUCCUUAGACUAGAACUUUGGGAUAACAUUUUGAAACACCAUAGCCCUACUUAAGCCUUAUGGGUACUCUCCCCACCUUCCUCCUUUGGGUGCCUUAGCCAUGUGGCUAAAGUAAGGUUCCGAUAAGCCAUGUUAAGUAUCCAAGUAGGUAGUCCCACCCACACUUGGAUUGGGAGCAUUGACCAUUCAAUCUCUCAGGGGAGCUAAAGCUAACUUUUGAAUACUUCACUAAGUUACUUUACUUGUUCAUCUAUGUUCACUUUAGCCUUGGACUCUUCAAUGGUUAUAUCAUCACCCACCACAUGGGUAUAACCUUCCUUAGUCUCACUAACCUUUUCUAGCCAAAUUGUUUCCAUUUGAGUCCUCCCCCCAUUAUACUUUUGGAGCUCACCAAACCCCCUCGGGUCUAGGAGAUGAUCACUUUGGGCUUUCACCCUUGGACUUGGACUUGGACUUGGACUCAGACUCAGACUCGAACUCAGUCUUGGUUUCAAACUUGGAAUUGACUGCCACACGAUGCAAAUGUAGACGGCAACAUGUAGCAAUAAAUCAAGCAAUAGAAGAUAAACUUGAGCUUGUAUUAACCAACACAGAGAGAAUAAUAAAAUACCUUUUGUUAUAAAAAUGAGCUUGGAAAGUAAAUAUUAGAUGAACUAGUGCUGAAUGAACCCCUUGAUGAUACUCCCGAAAGAAAGAUGGAGGGGUCAUUUACUGUUAGCCACAACAUUCCGAGCUUAAUCCGCUCCGACAUAUUUGGCUCCACAUGACGUAAAAGGUUUCGGAAACAAAUGCCAAAUUGCAUCACCAACUCAAAUAGCCCUUAACGAAGAUGAUGCAAUUGUUGGAAGGCAUUAUCACAAUCGUCAACAUGUCUAAAAGUGCGUUUGAAGACAUCUAGGAGAAUACUCUAAUCCUCACGAGUGGUUGCACUCAAACCAUUGUACCACUACAGCGUCGUCCCUUAGAAACACGUGGGAAACUCACGCAAACAUCAAGCAUCAUCCCAAGAAUGAUAUGUGGCAAUCACUAUGAAGUGAUCAAACCAAUGGUACACAUCAUCCUUAGGAUUCCUAUGAAAUUCAUUCAUCUUCAUAGUAGAGCAAUAGUUUCCUUCUUUGACUUUGGAGUAACAAUUGGUACAAUUGCUUGAUACUAUGUGAUUGCAAUUGAACAAUUAAACUCAGUUGAUGGCGGCAUUCAUAACACGUGGUACAGCUUCUUUUGCUCUUGGUGCCAAUCCUCACGUUCGGCCAGAGUUCUUUGGUGGGAAUUCUAGGGAUGAUAUCUACUAUUGAUUCGAUCAUUUCACAGUGAUUGCCACAUAUAAUUCUUAGGAUGAUGCUCAACAUUAGCAUGAAUUUCCCACGUAUCUCCAAGGGACGGUGCUACAAUGGUAUAAUGGUUUAGAUAUAGUCACUCGUGGGGAUUGGAGUAUUCUCUUGGAUGUCUUCAAAUACGCAUUCAGAUAUAUUGACAAUUGUGAUGAUGCCUUCUAACAAUUGCAUUAUCUUUGUCAAGGGCCAUUGGAGUCAGUGAUGCAAUUUGGCAUUUGUUUUUGAUGCCUCUUGCUUCAUGUAAAGCCAAAUAUGUCAAAGAGGAUCAAAGUAGGAAUGUUGUGGCCAACACUUCAUCAAGAUCUUGUAGGAUUUGUGCAUGCACUUACUUUAGCCACCCUUAAUAAUGCUUUUUAUUUGACAUAACAUUAUGAGACAUUGCCUCUUCCACUUCUUGCUACACAUCCUUUAGCUCCACUUACUGUGGGAGAUAGUCAUAUUCCAAUGGAGGUUGAUGCUAUUAUUGCUCGAGUUCAAAGAAAAGGGCAAAAAUAUAGUCGUAGCUGUGAUGUUUGUUGUUGGGCGUAUGAUGAAGUUGGUCACACUUAUCAGUGUUGUUGGCGUUUUCCAGAUUGGUGGCCUUCAUUUCUUAGGUGAUGUUGCAAUGGAAAGUCUGGACAUUGAGAUGCAUUUGGGAAAUGAGGAGUCACAUGAGUAACAAAGGGAUCUUUUGCGAAUAAGUUAAUGAUGCUUCUAUCUUUUUUUUGGGAGUAUUAUCAAGGGGUUUACUUGGCAUUAGUUCAUCCAGUGUUUACUUUCCAAGCUUGUUUUUAUAGUAAAUGGUCGUCAAGAUCUUGUAAAACUUGUGCAUGCACUUGCUCUAGCCACCUUUGACACACUUAGCACAACAUUAUAAAACAUCACCUCUUCCACUUCUUGCUACACAUCCUUCAGCUCCACUUCCUAUGAGAGAUGAUCCUGUUCCAAUGGAAGUUGAUGCUAUUACUACUCAAAUUCAAAGACAAAAGCGAGGACUUAGUCGUGGCCGUGAUAUUCACUGUUGGGUGUGUGAUGAAGUUGGUCACACUUAUCAGCAUUGUUGUAGUGCAUUUUAUCUCUUUCCCUUUAAGCCAACUGGAAAAGGGGCAAUUGCUUGAUGAAAGAGCCUUUAGUGGCUAUUUUAUCCCUAUUUAUCCCCCAAGGUUCCAAGGAUCCACAGUGACAAUAUAUCCAAAUCUCAUCCCAUGAUCACAUGUGCUACACUCACCCCCCCUCAUGUGAGUGUAACACACCCCCCCUUCAGAGAUGUUAAUGUCUUCAUUGACUACUAUUCCAUGUGAGACAACUAAUCAUUCACCCGUAUUGCAGUCCCACGGUGGAUACCUUCAUUCGUGGAUACUCCACACAAAAGGAAGGACGUACGCAUGGAUGCCCAAUACGUACGAUUUCAAAUUUAGGGGUAGGAAUAUACCUUGCUCGAGGGUAUAUUAUAUUUUUAAGUAGCCACCUGGAUACUCCACACAAGAGGAAGGAUGUACGCAUGGAUGCCCAAUACGUAUGAUUUCAAAUUUAGGGUAGGAAUAUACCCAAUACGUACGAUUUCAAAUUUAGGGGUAGGAAUAUACCUUGCUCAAGGGUAUAUUAUAUUUUUAAAUAGCCACUAAUCAAUAGGAAUUGAACCCGUGCCAUUUUCUCUGAUACCAACUGUAGCACACCUUAUCUCUCUCCCCUUAAGCCAACUGGAAAAGGGGCAAUUGCUUGACGAGAGAACCCUUAGUGGCUAUUUUAUCCCUAUUUAUCCCCCAAGGUUCUAAGGAUCCAUAAUGACAAUAUAUUCAAAUUUCAUCCCAUGAUCAUAUGUGUUACAGUUGUCGGUAUUUUCCAAAUUGGGAACCUCCAUUUCUUGGGUGGAGACAUUAGCGUCAACAAUGUCUUAUUAGUGUUGUUACAUGGGAGGUUUGGAUACUGAGAUGCAUCUGGAAAAUGAAAAGUCACAUAAGUAAUGGAGGGACUUUUCAUGGUCAAUAAAUAUUCUCAGCUAAAUUUAAUGUUAUAGAUUUUUUAUUUAUUUAUAUUUUUGAUAUAAAUAAAUACUUAUAUCUAAUUGAUAUCAGAUUUGAUCAUUCAUAUGGACCAAAAUUAUAUAAUAUGUUAAAUAAUGUUAAAUAAAUUAAGAUUUUGAAGAAGAAAAUCAAAACACUUAAAUAAAAUAAAUUAAUAAUUCAUUUUAUAUUUAUUUUGAAAUAAAACAUCUUUGAAAGUAAUGUUUGAUAUUUUUUUUAAAGUUAAGCAUCUAGGCUAUAAAUAAAUAUAACAUAGAUUUCGUUUAAUUAGAAUAUACUUCAGGAUUUAAAAUAUAAAUAUUCUUAAGAUAUGCAAAAUUAUGAAAGAGUAGCUAGAAAUUCUUUAGUAGGCCAAACCUCCUAGAGGAGCACUAGUAACCGGAACACUGUUCCAAACUAAAAUCCUCAAUAUUGUGAGAAGUUCAUUUGGAAUGCAGUGAGAUGGGCGUCCUGGUAAAUAUUCCAAGCAACAUUUUGCCUCCUCUUCCCUCUGGCCGCGGCCGGUGUGCGGUUUCUGCAAAUCUUGGGUCCGCAACUCCACCUAUAAAUUUGCCAGAUGGGGUCUCGCGCUCUUCCUUUGAGCUUCCAUCUGGGCUUCGAAUGGAGGUUCUCUCUUGUCCACCCUCUUCUUCUUCUCCGGCAACCCAAAGCAAAAUUGCUCCAGUAGUUUUUGUUCACGGGAGCUACCAUGCUGCGUGGUGCUGGGCUGUGCAUUGGCUCCCCCAUUUCUCUCAAGCUGGGCACCAUUGUUUCGCAUUGAGUCUUCUCGGCCAGGUUUGGUUUUUCUUUUUCCUUGGUCUUUAUAGAGUUUUGUGUGAUAAUGUCCGUGAAGGGAGAGAGUGAUCCGCCAGCUGAUCGAGUGCCACAGACUUUGGAGGUUUGGAUUUUAUCUUUGACUAUAUUCUUUCUGUCAGUGAUCGAUUGAUCUUAUGCGCAGUAGCUUCAUGCAAGCGAUGUUGCAAACUUCAUCGAGAGCAAGCUUCAUGGCAUUCCUCCAGUGCUCGUAGGGCAUUCAUUCGGAGGAUUGAUCGUGCAAUAUUAUCUUCAUUGUCUUGAGAGUAAGAGUUUCGAUCUGUGAAGUGAAAAUUAUAUCUUUCUUUUGCAGGAUACCCGAUGCUAGCUUCCGCUGUUCUAGCAUGCUCGGUUCCUCCAACAGGGAAUACGUAAGUUGGCCUUUUGGUUUCCACAAAAUAUAUCUUUUCCAACAAGGAUUACAAUGCAGUGCUGUGGUGAUGCGUUUCUUGAAGUCCAAGCCUCUUGCUUCCAUAAAAGUAAGCUUCAUAAGCUUUGCUUGUCUUGUGAAUCACUUGUAAGCCAAGGUUACUUGGAGCUUGGCUGCGAAAGGCUUUGCGAGGUCUCUUCCACUUUGCAGAGAAACAUUCUUCUCGCCGGACAUAAACCAUUCAGAGCUUGCAAGGUGAGCUUUGCUUGGAAUCGUUUACAAAACCUCAUAUGGUUUGUUCCAGAUACCAGGCUUUGAUGAGGAACAGCUCCACUGUUCCUCUCUUUGACCUCCGCAAACUAAAUGCAUCACUGCCGAUCGGCCCGCCAUCUCCGUCGUCACCACCUGUUCUUGUCAUUGGCUCCGAGAACGACUUCAUCCUGGUAGAAAACGCUCCCAUGGCGUAUCAAAGUUUUUAAACGUUUGUCUUCUCGUCACAACUUUCUCUUUCGUCCAGGACGAGCAAGCAGUGCGCGAGACAGGGGCCUUCUUCAAUGCCAAAGAGCACAUCAUCUCAAGCAUUGCUCACGACAUAAUGCUGGACACGCAGUGGAGAAAAGCAGCCGAUGUUGUUCUAGACUGGCUCAGACAUGGAAACAUUCAAGGCUGAAGAGACCAAGAAAAAAAAGCGAAGAAAAGUUUGUCAUGCCAAUGCCAAAGGCAAUAAAAUUUUGUUCGUUCUUGAUUGAUUGACAUGGUGAAUGGACAAGCCAUUGCUUUCCAACCCGAAAGAAAGCGAGACACCCCUGCAAAAAUAUAAAUAAAAUAUGUGAAGAAUGGCCAGUCUACAAAAACACUGUGGAGAAAUCAAGUGGUCGAAUACCAUGACACCAGAGACAAAAAUUCCCUCUUUUCCCUCAAAAAAUUCAAAAAAAAUUCAAAGCUUUCAAAUUAUUUUGCCAGCCAAUUCUGCCAAAAAUACCUUUUUUUUUUUUGUGACCAGAGCACUGAAUGGUUUCGAAAGCUCCAGUCCUUGAUCUGAUUAAACUAGUCCUCCCCUCCAUGGUUACAAAAAACAAGCCCUUUCAAACUACGCCAUCUUCUAGGCAAUGCAACGCACAAAUCUUUCUACUUACAAUAUAUAAUGCAAUGUUUUAGCUCGAGGAAUACUAGUUUUUAUAGCAAACGCCUGGAGCUCAGUUUUUUUGGGGCUGGAUCGAUCGGCUUUCUUCUCGCCGUGGUUUUGCGCCGGACUUAUGGUUUUGGAGCUCUUUUGUGGAUCGAAACUAGAGAAUUUUUUAGAGAGCUGGAUGAUUGCUUGUUUGCUAGAAAUUUCUCUGUGAGGAUCCAUGACAAUGCUAACUCAGGUGGUAUGUUCCCAUCCAACAAAACGUUUCAUGGAAUUCCACUCGCAGGUUUGAUUGAGUGGGAGCAUACCACUGUGUUAGGAUUGUCACAAAGAAGCCUCUUUGUUUCUUGAUCUCUAUCUCUCUCUCUCUUCAUUCUAGAAUUGCUUGCUCCACUCCGUUGCUAGUUCUUUCUCUCUUUUGUCAAUUCGAGAGCUUGAAAGAUUGAUAGAGCUCAAAUGAACCAACUGUCCUGGAUGUUUGAUCGGAUUCUCUUGAUGUGUGGCCUCGCAACAUUCCAACCAUGGAUUCCCGAAUUGAUAUGAAUCUACGAUCUUUUGUUGUGGUGUGUCUCCACAGGAAUCUUGGACCCACAAGCGAAAGAGAUUGAAAUUCUCUCCAACGAUCGUUCCAUCUCUCCAUCUCUCCAUCGCAGUCAAAACAAGAGAGCGAGGGUCACAUUCCUAUCCGGAAGAAGAGCCUCCCGUGAGAUGGACGGCCGCGAUUUUGUCACCCACUCUUCUCGUGAAUGGAAGAUUUUUUACUUUAUGUACAGUGAGUGGUCUUAGAACAAAGCACGCAAACGAAGAACACGAAAAAAUGGUCUGCCGUGUCAAUCGAUCGAUAGGACCGACCAAUCGAUCCUUUCACUUUCUUCGUGGCGGCUGCUGACUAGUGGAAAUCCCAGCCAGUGGCGAAGCCAGAUCCAUGGCCGCGGUACCACCACGGCCCCCUGGCCAAUCCGCUGGUGUGAUAGACCGAGAGCCACAGCGCGAGCUCCUCGGCCAGGAUUUCUUCCUGCUGCCUGUGCUUCUUGGCGAGAUCGAGCGUGAGGAGGCUGGAGCGGCACAUCGGGCAAGUGGUGUGGUUGUGAUUCAGCCACUUGUCCAAGCAAUCCCGGUGGAAGACGUGCGAGCAAUUGGGGAGCUUGCGGACGAGCGAGCUGGGCUCGAAAUCACACAAGCACACCGCGCAUUGGGCCUCGUGUUCCUCGUUCUCGCCGGGGAAUUCGAGCGAGGAAGGAGGAGAGGAGGAAGAAGAGGGGGAAGGAGGGAUUUCUCCCGGAUUAUCGAGAGAGGAGGAAGGAAUCUCCGAAAUAUCGAGAGAAGAAUGGACGAGCUUACUGAAUUCGAUGAGAGGGAGCGAGGAUUGGAUCUCCUCCACGAAGCUAUGGUGGUGGUGCUGGGGCUGUGAGCGAUCCGGCGAGAGGCUGGAGGCCACCGGGCGCCGCGGCUGCCGAGACGGCUCCAUCUGGUGGACCUCCGACGAAUCCCUCUUGAGCCCGACGAUCCGGAGCAGCGAAUCGAGCAGAUUCUUUACGAGCGCCAGCGAAAUCGCCGUGUUCACCACCACCAGCGGCAGCAGGCCGCCAUAGAUGCUUGGAAAUCCCAUGCCUGGAUGAAAAUCUCGACACCAGCAGUGGCAAACUAGUACACACUGACACCAAAAUUUAGCAUCUCUCCGCAAGAGCCCUAAAUUCUCGGUAGAGCACCCUUUUUUAAACCCUAAUUUCUCGGUAGAACACCCUUAGUAAAAAAGACCCGCCAGUAAAUGCUGACGUGUACGGCAGGCCGCGUGUCCGGCGGGUACGCCACGUGUCGACAGAGAUUGAUUCGGCUUUAAUCCUAUCCUUCAUUGCUUCGUCAGUCACAGCAGUGGUCAUGGAACGAUUGGAAAUGUUGAAUCCAAGAGAAAAGACUAAUCGAUUCGGAGACAAUCAAAGCUUAUCAAAGUUAGAUCCACGAGAGAGAAAACUAAGACAACCGAAGCUAUAUCUUAUACUUCUAGAGUUUGUAGAAGUGUUGAGAUGGAAUGUUACCUGAGGCAUCGCUUUCGUGUUCUCUAGCUUUGAGAAGCGGUGGCUUUUGUCUUCUUUACGUCGCGAGGACGAUCACAAACUUCUCUCUCGGGAUCUUGUCCGGUUGCAGCGUUUGGAUUACUCUCCUGUGGCUUCCGCUUGAAGAAUCUGCUGAUAUCAUUCACCUUUUGUUGUUUGAUCUGCAAGAACACUAGUAAACAAAAAAAAAAAAAAGGAGAAAAAGGAGAGUAGCUUUUACCUCCUUGAUACAAUCUGGCCCAUUAAAGGACGGCUUGCCCAUUGCCGAUGUAACAGGAUACCAUACCUGCAAGGAGUAUUUAAAACCGAGAGAAAGAUGGUUCUCGAGGAAUCCAUGGGUGGCGCCAGGCUUUAGAAUUUACUCUUCCUUUACCAGAUUCGGUCCUUCGUAUGGCUGCACGAAUUUGCGGAAGACGUCAUCGAGGGAGCAGCCAAGCUCUAGCCAUGCUUUCGUUGCGUCGUCGCUCGCUAGAAUGACAGGCAUCCUGUCUGUAGCAAAAGGAGAGUUGGCCAACACGAUUAAAACGGGAUUAAAUCGACACUUCGUACCGUGGAGCCAUUCCAAUCGCUUGGACACUCGCGUGGUCAAAAUGGUGAAAGUGAAGAGCGUGUCUCCUGAUAGAGCACGUAAGCACACCCACGAGUUCGACGAAAAUUUCAUUACCUUCGGCAUCUUGCCAAGAGUCGUACAGGCAGGCGAAUACAAGAGGGCGCUCGUCCUGGAAGUGGAUAUAAUAUGGUUGCUUCUUACUACCAUCUUUCUUCCACUCGUAAAAUCUGCAAAAGCGAAGUCGUAGUAGAAGAUAUGAUAUGCUUGUUUUGGUACCCUUCGACGCUCACGAGGCACCGUUUCGCUGGAAGAAGUCGAGAGAAGGAGGUCUUCUCACGCACAGUUUCUGAUCUUGCAUUGAACUGAAACAAGAAGAGAAAUGGUUAGAUCGCAACACAAGAAAGAAGUCGAGAAAAAAACAAUGGCUCGAUCGCAAACACAAGAAAGAAGUCAAGAAAAAAAAAAAUUGGUUAGAUCGCAAACACAGGAAAGAAGUGGAGAAAAAAAAAUGGUUAGACCGCAAACACAAGAUAGAAGUCGAGAAAAAAAAAUUUGGUUAGAUCGCAAACACAAGAAGGAAGUCGAGAAAACGAAGCAAAGAAUGAGACAGAACAAGAAAACUCACUCCAAAAAAAAGUUUUUGGGAUAGUUACCAUGCGAUAGUGAUCGGGCUUCUCAUUUUUUUUGGUGAAGCUGGGAACGAGCCCCCAUUUCAUCGCUUGCACAACCGGAAGAGCUUCCCCAUCGUCUUUGGCUUCGUAAUGAACAACAGGGAAAUAAGCUCCAGGCGACACAUUGUAAGAUGGACGAUACCUGCAAAAACGCGAUGGUAGAAUGCGAUGUGAUCAAACGAAUGCGAAAAAAAAAUACCUGUCGUGAUCGAUCAAUCGGAGCUGGCAAUCCCCAAAACCACAGGCAGCUCCCACAGCGUCGGGGGCAAGCGUGCAUCGAGCUCUCCCACACAUUUCUCCAAGCAAAACGCAUAAACCCUAGAGAAAGAACCAGUGCUGAAGUGGCACACCCUCAUUUAGUGCCGGUGAGCUUUGGGAUAUUGGCAUUCGCUAGGAGCACAUAAGCCGCUCCAUGCUGGAAUCGCGUCAAGCUCUUUGCGGCCCUAGCUCCUCUUUCAUUGUCACCGUGAGACGAACAAGCACUAAGCAAGGCAAUCCACUCCAGAACCUGGGGCUCAAAGGGCAUUGUAAGAAUGAGUUUCUCACAGUCCUCCAAAUGCCCAGACCGGGCAAGAAGAUCAAUCAUGCAGCAGUAGUGAGGCCGCGACGGAGAGACCCCGAAAUCAUACCUCAUGGACGUGAAGCAGCAGCGCCCAUUGUAAAGCUUGCCCUUCCUGCUGCAAGAGGUGAGUACAAGAGCAAAACAAGCUUCCUCAGGUGCGACUGAUACUCUCAUCUCAUCAAAAGUUGCAAUUGCAAGUGUUGAGUCUCCAAAGUGGGCUUGAGCCGCAAGCAAGACGCUCCAUGAGAUUUGGUCCUGCUCUGGUAUCUGAUCGAAAGCACUUUUUGCUCUUUCAAUGUCUCCAACUCGUGCAAAUGCUGCGACAUAUGCAUUCCAGGAAUGCUCGUUCCGAAGCGGAAGGCUAUAAAACAUUGCCACCGCCUGUACGACGUGCCGGUUCUGGGAAUACGCGGAGAGCAUUGUGUUGUAGGAGACGAGAUCCCUCACCGGCAUGUUUUCGAAAAUGUGCUCCGCCUCGUCCAGAUGCCCUACCUGGGCAUACGCAGCAAGCAUUGCGUUCCAACAGACGGUAUUUCUGUGCGGCAUUGAGUCAAAAACGAGUUUUGCUUCUUCGAGUCUCUCGCAUUGAGCGUAUGCCGAGAGAAGCGCGUUGUAACAAACAGUGUCCUUGUGAGGGCAUUCAUCAAACAUUUGCUGCGAUCGCUCACAAUUCCCAGCCAAGGCAUAGGCUGUGAUCAUCGCAGUCCACGAGAGAGGAUCUCUCUGUGGCAUCGCCUGGAAUGUCUUCUCAGCCUCAGAAACUCUACCAGAUUGGGCAUACGCGGCCAGAACCGCGUUCCAGGAAACGAGAUUCCUCUGCGGGAGUUCAUCAAACAGCGACUUUGAUCGAGCGACGUCUCCAGUCUGGGCAUAUGCCGAGAUCAUUGUGUUGAUCGACACAAUCCCGUGCUGUGGCAUUGCCUGGAGCACAAUCCGAGCUUCCUGGAAAUACCCGUUCUGGGCAUAACCUCCUAGAAUGAUGUUCCAGGUAAUUACAUCUCUCCCCGGCAUCUCAUCAAAUGCAUUCUUGGCGGACUCCAUUUGGCCCAAUUGGGCAAACCCCGAAAGGAGGGCGUUCAUCGCCACCAAGUUCCAACACGGCAUUCGAUCGAACAAUGAUUUCGCAAUCGAUGUCUCUGCGGCAAUGGCAUAGCCGUAAACAAGCGCGACCCAGCUAAUGAGAUCUCUUUGAGGCAUCGAAUCAAACAAUCCUUGCGCUUCCCGCAAAUGCCCCCUAAUGGCAAAUGCGGACAUUAUCGCAUUCCAAGACACAAGGUUAUCUUCCGGUAGCUCGCGAAACAAUCUCCUCGCUUCACAGAAAUCACCGUGAUGACCGUACGCAUCAAUCAUGGCCGUCCAGCUCACUGCGUCUCUCAACGGCAUCGCGUCAAACAGUUCCCGCGCUUCCCGCAAAUGCCCUUGUUGGGCAUACGUAGACAGCAUCGUGUUCCACGCUACUAGAUUCGGCCCUACGAUAGAAUCGAACAGGACCUUCGCAUCGUCGAGAUGCCCAUGGCGUGUAUAUGCCGACAGCAUUGCGUUAGAGGAGACAAGGUCCCGACAAGGCAUAGAUGCGUAGAAUUGCUUGACGUCUUCAAGAUGCCCGUUCUGGGCAUAUGCGUCAAGCAUGGUAGUCCAAGAGAUUAGAUCAUGAUCGGGCAUGGCAUUAAACAUUCGUCGCGCAUCUUCCAGAUUCCCCGAGUUUGCAAGUGCUGCGAUCAUAGAAGUCAUGGAAACGGGCGUUUUAGCGGAGGCUGGCAUCUUGAGAAGUAUUGUUUUCGCAUCUUCCAGAUGCCCGUUGCGGCAGUAGGCCGAGAGCAUGAGCGUCCAGGAGAAGGAGUUCUUGACGUAGAUUCCAUCGAAGACCUUGCGAGCUUCGGUGGCGCUGCCACACUUGCCAUACAUUUCGAUGAGAUUGUUGAGGAUGAAGUAAUCGUCCUUGAUCCUUGGCAAGACAGUUGCUGCUCGCGAGUGGAUUUCUCGUAGCGCUGGGAGGGAUUUGCAAGACUGGAUUGCUUCAAUGCAUUGCUUCCUUUCCAUAAACCGGCAGAAAGAAAGUUCACUCACUUUGCUUGAAGAAUUUGCUGUUCUUGCCACUUGGUCUCUAGCAGCUCUUCUCCCACAGGCUCCCCCAAUAGGACUCUCUCGAGGAGCUCUCCAUCUUCUUCCAUUUUAUCGGGCAAUUCCAGUUCAUCUUCGUCGUUGGCACUAGAGACGAUCACUUCUUCGUUUUCUUCGAUAUCUUCGAGUCCUCCUCCUUGAAGUUCUUCCUCUUCCUCUUCUUCUUGUUCUUGUUCUUGUUCUUGUGCUGAAAGAUCAUCGCCAUCACCACCACUUUCGGCUUCUUGAGAUGGUUUUGUAAGUCUCAGCUCGGCUAGAAACUUUCAACGUUAGAACUGCACUGAGCUGAGUUUAGAUGGAACUUACGAUAGAGUCGCUUCGUAGGAACUCUGAUACGCCUCCCUUUGAGAUAACGAUACUCAUACCGCCGCAGGGGAUACUUUUCUCGCACCUUCUCGCUCUUUUCUGGCAUGCCGACUUUGAAAUAGACCUCCGCAACCAUUUCAACUAAUCCUUGAUCCGGUCUGACGUUGAGUUCUUCCAUGUCUGCAAAGAGCUGAAGAAGGUAUAAGAAAGGAGAAAUUACAGGAGGAAGAAACUUACAUCUAGCAGCUUUUCAUACAUGCCAGCUCGGUUGUAGAUCCCCAUCAUAAGAGAAAAAUGUGAACGGGGAAGCGCGUCCAAGUAUCUCCGAAAGACACCGUGGAAAACUUCCUCGGCUUCCUCGAUGCGGUCUUCUUUCUCCAGUGCCACUAUCAGCAGCUGAUAAGUUGCCAUUGUCUUGCCAUGUCCUUUGCUCAGCAUCCAUUUCGAAACCUGGCAAGCUUCUAAGGACAGAAGAACUAAGAAAAAUCCACGAACCUGGAUCACACGCUUCCAUUGCCACUGAUCUCGAAGAAUCCUCAGAGCCUUUUUCACGGGUUCAAUCGGAAAGUCGACUUCGAAAGCACUCCAAGCAUCCAAUGCACCAUAUAUAUCUUCCUUGCAGUCUGAGAGAUUGGCUAUCUGUAGGCAGCACAAGAAAAACAAAAUCCUCAGCCACAUAGCUUCGGUUUCUCGUCUUAAAAGCUCACUUACACAUUUGAUAAGGUUAACAGCCUUCAGAGAACUUCCUCUCUUGGCUGUUUUCUUCCAUGUCUUGGGCUGCUCUCCUUGAUUCUUAUCUCCUUUAUUUCCUUGAGCGAAACAAAUCUGGACAAAUUGUGAGCUGCUAUAACUGAAGUUUACAAUUAUGCUCACCCAUGAACGCACUCGUCGACAAGAAAUAAUACCAGCUUGUAGGCCAUCAGUAACUCUAUCUUUAUGGAAGCCACUGCGAGCAAAAAUAUGUGAAGAGUGAGCACAAAGCCAGGUGAAGAAGCAACUUUACCGGUAGCUGUACACACUAUCCUCUCGGCACUCUACUGAACAAAAAGCCUUUCCUCUUCUGAAGCAAUGCACUCUCAGCCCGUAAACUGAUUGAAACGGAGGUACCCAACACUUGAGCUGCAAGCACACUGCAAGAACUGAGAAACUGUGUUUAGAAAAAUCCAAUAUCAAGCCACCAACAUGCCUGGUCACAGCAGCUCGUCCAUGGAAACGCUUGCUGCAUUUCGUAAUUUCUACCUGAAACUCAACUCGCAAAGCCCUAGAAACAAGUAUAAACAAGGAAUUGAAUUGAUGCCAGAGUUAGAACAAAACUGUCUCAUUUUUUGUGACCAGCAAACGAAAUAAAAACGCUCCAAAUAACGCCUAACAAGCACGCUGCGCCAGCCUGAAAAUCAAGUGUGUUUUUGGCCCACUUCUUUGCAAGAGAAGUAAGAAACACCAAAACGAACCUGUAGUUGUGGAGGCACUAGUCCAAAGUUUACAAGCUGGAACGGUAUCCAGACUUUCCAGUUCGCUAUGACGGUAGGAAGCCAGUCCUGGAGAUGACAACGAGAGGAAACCAGUGAGCAAUACAGCAUUGCUUAGCUCACCUGUUGAAGCUUUGACCAAAGUUGCUGAUUCCGACCCUCUAGGGUGAGCAAGACAGCGAAAAACGUCCCAGUUCCGAGAGGUGUAAACACAAACUAUACGAGAGAGUAAAGUUUUCAGAGCUAGGAAGAGUCUUUAGUGUAUCUUACUUGGUCCGCGGCAAUGCGAAGGGCUAAACCCAAGACUCCUGGAUACGGAAUCAAUUUUGGUAGAAAUCCAUACCUACAAUCCAGAACUCUUGAAAGUGACAAAAAAUAAAUACCAUGCUUGCUCACCAGUAGUGCAUACCAGGUCCACUCAUAAAAAUCCCAAUAGCCGUGAAUGAUAGAAGCCGCUGGAAAUCUAUUGUCUGGGACUUCUCGACAACAAUCUAGAAUUGAAAAAAAAAAAAUCGUAAGUUUUGCAAGGAUUUUUUCUUUUCGGUUUACCUGACAAAACAAAUCCGAGAAUGCGUUUAAGAGGCCCGCGGUCAAGCUCUUCAUAACCAAGGGAUGGCUGUCCAGUAGACCAACAUAUCUACAAAAGAAAUGGUGAAGAACAAGACCAAAAGAAAAAAGAAAAACGUUUGGCAAAUUUACCUAGACCAGAGGGAAAAGGCUGCGUUGUUCGCUGCCUCUGGAGCUCCAAUUUCCACGGAUUUCAUCCCUUGCGCAUCGGGGCUCAUACAUCUGCUACACAAAUCAUCCACCUUGCGCACGAAAUGCCAUGAUUGAGCUCGUCGCUUCCGCAGAUCCUGCCCAAAUCCAGCUGAAACCGCAGACCUCGCGUAGAGAAAAGGAUCGCCGCCGCAUUCUCGCCUCCACACGCUACUGCCGCCGAGCACAGCGCUGGAGAGGGGGAUCGUCGCCAUCGCUCAAAAAACCCUAAAUAAGUGAUUCCCGCCAUACAGGAAGAGAGCUCUUAUACUGUGGAGCUUCGCGCCUGUAGUGUAGACAAGUGGUAGCGACACGUGUCACAAAUCCGUAUGAACAAAAAAUAGAGCAAGCUCUUAUUUUCCUCCGGGAAUGUUCGUGUCAUGUAAGCAACGUUGCCACGAGCUAUUCUUUUUUGAUUCCUCCGCUCAUGGAUGAAUUCGUCCAGUCGAAAAAAGCCAAUCCAUUUUUUGUUUCUCUCCUCAGUAGUGAUCGCCCAAGCGCAUAAUCCCCCACACGUCCAAAACUCCCGGAGGAACAGCGUUGUCCACGGCCGAUCGAAUGGAAGCUUUUGCCACUGAUGUAACUUUCACUGGAGGCACCACCAAGUUCCCCAAAACUGGAACUCUCGUCAUCGAUUUCAGGUUUCGAAACGCCUGCCAGCAAAGUUCCAGUCUCGUGCUCUGAAAAAACGAAGAUAGACUUACCAUUUCCAACGGAGUUCCAAUGACUCCCAGAGGUAAUUGGAUGCUGCCAACACGUCUAGUUCCGUGAAUGAAUCCCGGACGCAAGAUCACGCCUGGGCCACCAACAAAGUUAUCAACGCGAGACAAAGAUUUAAAAGACGCGCUGGACUAACCGCCAUAAGGGAAUCUAGACAUCACUGCGUUUUCAGCCGCUUUCUGGAAGAAGAAAAAAAGUUAAUCUUGCUUUCAUCAGUAUCGUAGAACAUUACAAACCUUUCCUUCAAAGUAGCCACGCAAAAUGUAAGACGCGAAGCCAAGAUCUGAGGCAGAUACAUAGACAAACCUUUUGACUCCUGACAAAAACAGAAGAUGAAAACUGAAAAGAAAAACCACGAUUACCAGAAUCAGCAGCAGCAUUGAUGGCCUUGACAUUUGCAUCGCCAUUGAUUUUGCGCAUGGUGUCAUUCGAUCCAAAACCGCCUACGCAUGAUAUCUGGAAAGACAAGAGAAAUCCUCGUGAAGAACAGAAGGAAAGAAAAGCAAAAAAUUGAAAACUUACCACUGCUGAGACAUCUUUCAUGUGUUCUCCAAUCGUGUUUGGGCCGAUAAGAUUUCCUGAAACCAAAACCUGUAAGGGGUGGUCAAACACAACUAGCUACCAAAUGCCAUUCCUUUGCUCAACAAGAGGAAAAGAAAAAGAAAACACUAGUGGUGGCGACUUUACCUCGAAUCCACUCCACCUUAUUCACCCAAGGUUCGUCAAUGUGAGGCUUUCCAGAUCUAAAAACGAAAAGUCUUCUUAGUGACCAACAAAGAAAAGAAGAAAAACAAAGUACCUGUUUAAGCUCGCAACAGGAAUGUCACGCACAACAGCUUCUCUACACACAUGAGAACCUACAAAUCCAUUUCCUCCCAAAACCAAAAUCUACAAAAGGAAAAAAAGCCAUUGAAAGCUUUCAUCGAUCCAGCAAAAAUUCCAAGACUUUCCUCUACCUUCGACCUCUCGGGCUGGACGUCAACCGUCUCUGCUUCCUCAGUUGGAUGCGGCGGAGGCUUGGCAGCUGGCCCCGAGCAAAGGGACCGCCAUUUCUCAUUGCCCGCGAUCCUAAGCGCCGCGCGCCAAUACGAUUAUCAGCUACUUCCUAGGAGAUUGCAGAGGAUGCAUUACCGCCAGAGACACGAUCGAUCGCCAGAGAGCUUCGCGCCCGCCCUCCCAAGAGCAGCCGCAACCAUCGCCAAGUCUAGAAAUUAGAACCCUGGAAAUGACACGUGGCGGCGUUUAAGGGAUCGACCAAACGACCGUUCUAGAAGAGAUUCGAACCCAUGACCAGUAAAUGUAUGUAUGUACCAUCGAGCUUUAGUAUUUGUAUUCUUCUACAGGCCCAAAAUUUUGAGCUUUUCAGUCCCAGUCAGCGUCGAAGUAGCCCGCGUCUUUCAUUUCCGAGUAAUAUACAUCCUCGAGUUGGAACGCUUCUUCCUGAAAAACAAAUCCAAAGAGAAUUGUGCGAGAGAUUGAGAGAAAGAACUCCAUUUCGCUUACUUUGAAAUAGUCGGCAAGGAACGUGAGAUACAAGAGAGGCGGAUAGAACGCGUAGUACGCAUAGUUUGUGAAGCUAUAGAUGCUGCAAAAUCGUUUGGAAUGAAUGACGAAGAAUGAAGAAACGAAAAGAAAGAUGAGUUGCAAUUACCAGUAGCCGAAUUCCGAUCCACAUCCGAGGAUAAAGCUUCCCAGGGAACGCGACAUGUUUAGAACAAACAAAACGAGCACGUAGUUAUAGAACGCCGGUCUCGCUGCAAAAACAGGAAACAGCCACAAACGAGAAGUUCGAACAAGAAAGGCAAAAAAUGAAACCAUACCCGGUAAGUGAUCUCGCCAUCUCGUGAAAGGGAGAACCAGGAUGAAGAAGUAGACGCCCGAAAAGACGAGGGAAUGGAGGAACCAAAAGCUCCAUUUGGACCAGUCCCCUGCAUCACUUCCUGCCACGAACAAUGGUAUACCGAACCGGAAGAUGAGAAUUGCCUACACAAGUUUUGGGUGGCAUUAGAAAUCUUCUUUGCAAAAAUCAUACCUUGAUCAAUGCAUCAACCGCUGCGACGAAUCCAGAGAAAGUGAGAGUGCGAACGAGAGCAUCCCAUGUACUGGUGAGAUAGCCCUGCGAUAAGAACACCACCACACUGACUUCCAGUAGCACCAUACCGAAUCGAGUGAGCAGUGAGAUGAGAUUCCAAGACGUGCUGCUGGAAUGCUUCAUCUGGAUACGAAAAGAAAAAACUUUGAGCGAAGCGAUGGAUCGAUCAUGGCGAUCAUACCUCGAGAACGCACCACAAGAUGUUGAGAAUCGAGAUGAUCCAGAGGCAAGCAUAGUAAGUGGCCAUGAUCGGCGACUGGCUCUGGAGGAGCUUCUUGACGCAUUUGCGAGCGCGAGCGAUGAGAAAGACCGUGAAAGCCAACACCGGGAGCAGCAUAACAAGGUAGUAGAGCACCCCGUGCUGGCCAUUGGAGCGAGCAAACGCGAGGCAGCCCUUUGGAUCAUUGCUCACCUGUGAAGGAGGCGCUGCGCCAUCGCUGCUCGAUGGAUCGGCCAGCAGGUCGCCGGAAUCUACUAGAGACGCGAGCAGGCCCUCCGAUCGCGAUGUCGCCAAGAUCGUGGAGAGGAGACACAGCGCCAUUGGGUCAUCUAUCCCAAAAUAUUUGCCCUACUCCAAGAACCCUAGGUAGAGCUCUGUUCUUUGUGGAGAAUGCUGGCGGUGGAAGGCGAUGGGAGCUACGCUGUGGCCGAUCGCCUGGCCAUAGCUCUGGAGCCGGGAUCUCUGUCCAAGCGCGAGGAGGAUUAUGUGACAAUGCGAAGAUUGCUGCUCCACAGGCAAGCGAUGAAUGGGAAGCUCUCGCGCCAGGUAAAUUUCUUUCUUUCUUGUCUGGCGCCUGCAUUUGCGCCUUCUCUCUUGUCUAGAACUGGGAUUGCAACGGGACUGGAUAUGUAGCGUACAGGAAAUAUAUUUGCGAUGUCAAGCCAAGUGUCGAUCACAGUGAAUGGGCUCCAUCUGAGGGCCGACUCUCGAAAGAUUUAAGCAAGGUUCGUGUAGAGUUGCUAGAAGAUGGUCACUGUGGUGGUGAUUUUCUUUUCUUGUUCUUGGUGUUGGUUUUUUUUUUUUUUUUUUUCUGCUUCUUAAGAGUCCUGCUUCAAUCUCGAGUCGCCGAUCAAGCUCUGUGCAAGCAGACGAAUCCGAGCAACCAGCUUACGCCUUUGCUGGAAUGAAGUGCUUGUUUGAUUCUUGCAAAGCAUCGGGUAUUUGUUUUUCUUCUUCAUGUCUUCUCCUUUCUUCUAACUUGAUCUUUUUCUUCUUCUUGCAGUGAAUGUUGUUCGAUUUGGUAACCUCAGCUCUGAUCUACUAGCGUUUGGCGCAGCGGAUGGCACACUUACAGUAUGCUCGCUCGAAGGCUCGCCGCGAGUUCUUCAUCUCCUCAGGGGUCAUUCCAAGGAGAUCACAGGUAAAUGGCUACUUUACGAAGCUUUGAAGCUGUUAACUCCUGACAGGAAACUAGAUUUCGAUUGGUCUCUCAAUAACAAGUACCUGUGCUCCUCGUCUCUGGACAAAAGCGUCAGGAUCUGGGAUACGAGCGAAGGUCAUUGCAUCCGAGUGAUAUACGACAAAGUGUCCCAACUAUGCAUCCGCUUUCAUCCUGUGAGUGAGCAGACUAUCCCUCUGCGAUGCUCGAGCGCCUAAAGAACUUUUCUCCCAGGUAAAUAACAACUAUCUAGUCGUCGGAACCGGAACCGGCCAGUUGAAGGUACUCGCGGCUAAGUUCGCUGCUGCAAUCUAACUUUUUGUUUUUCGCUCAGGUUAUCAACUUCAGUACUGGGCGGCACGUGAGCCAUUUGGACCUUGGAAGACAAAUCACUGCUCUAGAUUUUGAUCCGUCGGGCCGCCUUUUGUUUGCUGGUGAUUCAACCGUAAGAAUUUUUCGGUCUUUCUUUAUUGCGACUGUUUGAUACCAAUUUUUUUUUCUAUCAGGGAUGCAUCUACAGUAUAGCGGUGGACUCUAUUACUGCCACACUGUCGUACGCACACAAGAAUAACAUGGGUCUUGCGCGUAAGUCCACGACCACGACUGUGCAAUUCAGAAUAUUUUCCCGUCUAGCUGGUGGGCCUGUGUUACUUGCUUCAAAUCAAGAUGGCAGUCUGCGGUUCUUCAGGUUCGUCGGUCUUGGUUUCCUCUGCGCUCGGUAACAUUUUCUUUUCAGUGUUGCACUGCAAGUGAACGGAUAUCUUACUCUAAGAUGCUCCCUACACUUGCCUCCUCUUGCAAGAAACACAAGAGCAUCUUUCUGCCCUCUGCUAUCACUGGAAAAGGGAGAAUUCAUAGGUUCAAGUGUUUCUUAUGUGGCUAUUCUCUUUUUUAUUAGCUCGUUUCUUUUGCUUGCAGUUACUGGGAGCGAAGACAAGAAUGUGUAUUUUUACGAUUUUACAAGACCAAAGCAUCCCUGUGUUAAUAAGCUACAGGUAAGCUGUUCAUUAUAACUGAGCGCAGCGCGAACUAAACUUCGUUUUGUUUGUGCAGGGGCAUGGCGCACCAAUAGUUGGCGUUUCGUGGAACUACGGAGAGAACCUGCUAGCUUCUUCAGAUUGCGAAGGUCUGGUGAUUGUAUGGAAACGGGCUAAGUCCGUAGAUGGUUAGCUUAGUGGUUUUUUCGUUAGCUCGAAUGCAGGAUGCUAGUGGUUUUCCUCGCACUGUCAGUCUUUUAUUUUGUGAGGUGAUUACAGUGUCAAUUGCCGAUGCAUGCUAUCAUGCUUUUGCGGAAUGUACAAGACAGUUUUCCGUUGGUCAGCUCGAGUUUCGUCACUAAAAUUUGGCUGAGAACUCCGAGAGUCCUUCAGUGUUUGCGCUGCUUGUUCCUAGAGUCCGGUGUGUGUUCUUCCACUUCGGGUUACUUGAGUCCGUGGAGCGUGGGUGCCCAGUAGUCGGCUCCGUUAUCGUUAGCCACCUGUAAAGUGCAGGACACCGGUACCAGGCAUAGACCCCGGCUUCUGAGAUCUUGCCUGUCCUCGCAGAUUUUUCCAUGCUCCUGGGCCACGCAUGUCAAGUGAAGUUUGGACAAGCAAUGCUAGUAAGUAAGUCGGCUUACGGUUUGCCGUGUCGUCGUACUGACCCCGGCUGGUUUCAUGUAAGGCGAGCUGAGCACCUUCAGAUCCAACAUAGUUAAAGAAAGAAGCGACUAGAACCGGGGAGAGUGCUUGUUUUACCUGGACUUGUUCGUGCAGGAACUUGAUGUACCCGAUCGCUUCCAGCAAUACGGAGGCUGUGUCAGUCUGCACAACGCCGACUUGGUUGACAUGAAUCAGCGUACAUAAACAGGUACUCUUUACCUUUCCAAAUGGCGAGACCAGUUGCUGGAGUGCUGAUAUUCUCUCUCCAAGCUUCUCUUUCCUCACCUGCAUCUGCAUUUCCAUUUCCAAAAACUUAAUCAGCUCCAGGUACAAGGAUCAGCCCCUAUUUAUUGUUCUGCUCAUUAAAGUCAGCAUCUACUGGAAGCUUGACUAGGAACUUGUCCUAAAGACUCAUGCAGGAUUCCUUAGUAGUAAAUGCAUAGAACUAAUGCCUGGAAACGUUGUGCAGGCACCUACCUUGAAAGGGAAGGAGUUGCUAUUUUCAAGCUUGGGUCUUUUCGAGAACAGCUCGGGCUCGCCGCUGCUGCUGCUUGCAACCCCUCCAAAGAGGCCCGGUACCCGGUCACUCGUCGCAGGUUCAUCGUCAUCCUGCAUCAAUUUAUAGUAAUCAGAAUCGAUGCGUUCGAGCGAGUUCUAAGUGUGUAUGUGAUUUUCUCGUCUUUAGGAGAUGUUACCUGGUGCUUUGGGAUCACGGCCUCCUGGAGCUGUACCGUAGAACCACGAUCCCGAGUAUCCACAUCUGUCGGCUUUCGUUUGUUUCUUUCGUAUGACUCGGUGGAUUUUCCUGCAGAAUUCGACGGCAGCACCUCCGAGAGCAUUGCAGGCAGCCUGCUGGAGCGCGUAAGCCACAUUUCCGGAGUGUCCUGGCUGCCGCUGAGGAGCUGACCGAGGUGACUGCAACUCGCACUCGCAGCAGCUGUGGCAUCCGGGAUUGGCCUAUCGGCUUGGCGCAAGAGAUCCAUAAAGUUACCGAUUUUGGACGAACUUGUCGCGGUGGAAGACCUCUGGAGCGCCAGGACCUUAUCGUCGAUGACCAGACCAUUGCGGCCACCGAGAAAGAACUCCUCUUCGUGCUUGAUCACCGGCGGAGGGACUUGCAUUUCAACCUGGUACAUUGAACUCAAGCCUCGGCUUCCCGGCGACACCAAAACUGGAUUUUGCAAGCUCCGAUGAGUAUCUUCCGAGCAGCUUCGAGACAUUAAUUCGGCCGUUCUACAGACGAGAAGCGCGUCCACCGCAUAGCCUUGACUGGAAUUCCUGGACAGAAAGGCGCAAAGAGAAGAGAAAUUAUAUCGGAAAGGCUUUGAACACUCGAGAUCACGAAACUUAAAGACACCGAAAAAAUUCUUCUUACAGAAUUGGAGUGCCGUAUGCAUCGUGCGCCUGAUCGUCGAAGAGAUUAUCAGCCCGAUUCGACCACUUCGCACACUCGCCUUCCACUUCCAAUAAUGAGGCGGACUUUGGAGCGGGAGACUGGGAAGGUAGAUUAUUCCACGCAAUCUGCUGAUGCUGCUGAUGCAUUUCCUUUUGUCUAGUAUGGUUAUUGCAGCUUCCAUUGCGCGAGCUCGGCCUGCGACAAGAGAAACAAACGAGUCGAGUCAACACGCUUGUCAAGCUCGAAGUUUGAAGCAUCUCAUGGCUGGAGCUCGGGUGGCCGAGCUCGGGGACAGACUUACAUCUCACAGAAAGUCGGAGCUGGAGAAGGCGGACAUUGAUCGGGAGUGGAGGUGGAGCUGCCUUCUGAGUUGGCACUAAGCGGGCUUUGGACCAAGGCUGCGGCUCGUUGCCAGCCGGAGGAAUCAAGCCCGGUUGUUGCUAGAGAGACGAGCUUGGUUGCAGAGUCAGCUCGACUUAACAGGCCAGCAGCUUCGCAUUCUCUGACGACGAACCUGUUGUCCAGCCGGAAGGAAUUGUGCUGCUGUUGCUGCUGCUGAUGCUGCCACAUUGAAAUCGUUGCUGCUUCAACAACAACAACACCGCCGCCGCCAGCAGCGCCACCCGUGCAUCUGCGAAUCGCCACCACCACCGCUGACUCAACUCGGGGCUCCCGAAUCUAGGCCGCAUCAAUCAGUGCGCGGCUCAAAACGUUUUCCUCUUUAAAAAAUGCUGCUGCUGCCGCUACUUCUCGGGAGGGCUCGGACACUACGCUCGAUGCACACACUCACUGGCUAGCCACAUGCUCAAAGAACACUACGACCACCAUCGCCUCGACUUUCAGUACACACUUUGAAGAGAAACAAAAGAGUUUCUCUCGAAGCAGCAGCACACCGGCAGCAGCAAAACAGGAAAACCAACAACAGUGGUAAGCCGAUUUUGCUCUCGGGGCUACUAAUGUUUCUCACUGCCACGCCUAGGAAGGAAAGGAGCUCACAGCUACAACUACAAAGACAAAAGGAAUGCGCCUGACUGACGACUGUUCACCAGUGCACACACACACACACACUACACACUCUUUGCUUGGGUCUGGAGGUAUGUAUGCAAGUAUUAUAUCGUCUUCUUCUUUUUCAUUACCUCUCUCUCCUGCGAGGGACCUGAUUACUUUCUUCUGCCUUGCAGGUCACGUAAGGCGGGAUGCCACAAUUUUGAGACUUUCGGCACAGCACUGGCAGCUGCUGUGCUGCUGCUGCUGCUGCUGCUUCGUCAGGAAACAAAGCGUAUGUAUGUAUACGUACAUUCUCUCAAGACUCCUUUUGUAUCUCUCUCGGCUCACGACAUCUCUAUGAGCUCCGGAGCUCUCUCAGCGAGGAAAGUACUUUGCGAUUCUAGUCUAGUUUUGCUUUUAAGCUUUAGCUGUCCAGAGAUUGGAUUCCGAUCAAUCACUCGUUUUGAUCGGACUGGCUAAGCGCUGCUCGACUUGCAGAGGUCGUUUUGUCCGACCGAUCGAUCGAUUUGUCGCAGGGAACGGCACAGCGAGCGAGCGAGCGAAAUCUCGUGAAGGGCAAGAAACCCACACCGCGCUCGCUCUAAAGCUACCAAAGAGCCGCUGCCAAAUGGGAGUGAUGAAAGUCACAUGAUAUGAUGUGAUGGGGUACCAUACCAUACAUGGUCCCCAUCAUAGAGAAGUCACAUGGGUCCAUGAUGACUCCAUGGACAUGCCCGCCCCUUACCGUGUGGGUCCACCGUACGUACGGCACCGAGGUGGAAGAAAAAGAACGCGGUCGGUGAAAAGAGAUUUUUGUGCGCCUACCUGGCAACAUCAUUGCCGCCGGCUCUGCCGAUCUGACGGCUGUGAUGUGAACCCCGGUUAAGCUGCUAACCUCUCGCGGCAAAGGUAAAAUGACAUAGGCCUUACCUAACCCUAAAGCGUCGCUUUCACACACCGACAAAACCGGCAGGGAGGGGGAAAAAAACUGAAACGUCAAGGUUGACCUCAUCUGACGGGCGGCCGGCGCGAAGCAAGGGGUUUUUAGAGGCCGUCAAAUACGGCCUCUGGCAAGCGUGACGGGCGGGCGUCAGGAAUAUUUGAAGUUUGUGUCACGCCUGACACGUGUCACGGUCACAGCCGGUCAAAGCGGGUUAGGUUUGGGCGAAGAAUUAGGUCAGAAAAAGGUGGUGGCGGAAGUUGAAAAGUCAAUAGGCGUUUCUUUAAAGAAAAUUGUCUAAACUAGUGGGAAAGGUCAAAGGGAGACAACAGUUCCAAUCAAACAAUGCACAAAACAAGAGAGAUUAGAUCGCUCUUUGUCUUGAUUUGUGUUCUUUCAUUGAAGUUGGCCAUGUUUUUUUCCAUUCCAGUGAAGGUGACAAUGAAUGGGUCUCUUCUCUCAUCUCAGUCACUUUCCACUCUUAAUUUGUAACACUAUGCUUUGGUGAAAGCUGAUCUCAUCCAUUUGACUCGCCCCACUAGUUUUCUCGCCAAUCCCUUAGAAAAACACUUAGAAGAAUCCAUUCUCAAGUCCACAACACAUGGCAUUAUUUGCUGCCAGUUUAGAAUAACCCCGCCCCCGAAGUUCCAGUGAUCUUUCGCCGCUCAAAGUCAAGAACACCCCAAUUUAAAUCCGUUGCUGCGUCAAUCCAGAUAAAAACAACAACUGUGCACAGAAUGGCAGAUCGAUUAAACAACGCCAGCGUAUCAGACUGGAAAGGAAAGUUUAGAGCAUACCACCUACGAAGAAGAAACCUUGGCGAGAGUCGUCCAACAAGCUGUAAAAACUAUUACAGGGAAUGAAGCAAAGAGAGGAAAACUAGAACUAAAAAACGCAAGCGAGAAUGAGAGAAACAUACUGCUCGUCUCGUGAAGGAAAUGACGAAGGUUGUCGUCUACGAACUUCAAACUCCCGAGUAGUCCAUCCAAACCACGUUCGAUACUUGAAUGCCUACAGAAAAAAUUUCAUGGUGAAGAGCAUCCGACAAACGCCGUGGCGGCGAGCCACGGGAAGGCGAGAAAGAAUCACGCUAGAAAUUUAAUAAGCCAAGCAAGGAGAGAAGACGAGACAAGCAAUAGAGAAAUGGAAAGAAAAAAGAAGAACACGUACGUGGCUAAGUCGCAAUAGUCCAACUGUUGGCUUUUGUCGACUUGCUUGAGCUCACACGGGAUCCUCCAGGAUUUUGCGAUGAUGGGACGCCUUCAGAAAGCUCGAAGCCUGCUGCUGCUACGUUGCUUAAACGCUACAUUCCCUGCAGUGGACUUCGCGGAAUUUCCCAAACGUACAACUAUUUCCCUGGCACACCUCUUGCAGUGAAUGGUCUCCCAGAGCUGACACUGUUUCCCCCGUGAGAUCUCCUGUCUUCUCAGAAUUCCCAGAACUGUAGCUAUGUCCCGGUGCUACUCUACUUGUGGUAGACAAAAAGCGGCCGCCUGAAUCCGGACUUAUCACUCGGCAGCUCCGAGCUGAUCUCUUCGUAGAACUUGAAUCCAAUCUUCUCGGUCAGAAUGCUGGGGAAGUUGUCCGGCCGGAGUUUUAUUCUCUGGAAGUUCUUUCUCGUCACCUCGGAAACUCUCCGCUUCUUGCUGUAUGAUUCCCACGGCUGAGGCUCCAGCACCAGGCGGCCACCCGGCCGGAGCUCCUUGAAAACCUUCGCGAAGAACUUGAGGAGGCCCUCGUCGCCCCAGUUGAGAUGAAUCCACUUGGAAAUGCUCAAGCAGAGGAUGGUGUCGUACGUCCCGGGCUUGCAAUAAACGUCGAGGUAGUUCUGAGUUUUGAAUGUAACUCUCUCCGAAAGCUCUAGCCCGCUUAAAACAUCAUCACCAGCUUCUUUUGCAGUGUGCUUUCCGCCAGCUACGACCCCACACUUGGCAGCUUUUUGCUCGACGGCUGCUUCCUCAGAAUCUGUGCUUGGAGUUUUCCCAGAAUUCUUCUGUUCACCACCUUGCUUGAAAGGAUACCCCUCGUCAGCUUCUUCCAUCGAGUUAGCCUGCGAUCCUCCAUUCACUCCAAACACAGUUUCCUCGGUUUUCUGCGCACCAUUUUCCUUCGCGGCUGGUUCAACUCUGUUAGCUUCCAUUUUCUCUUUCUCUUCGACACCAUCACUUGUGUGAGAAGCUAGAAAUUCUUUCUCGGUCACUCCGUUUUCGCUACCCUCAAAAUGUACUGCCGUAGCUGUUUCCACAGAAUUGUCCCCUUGCGUCCUCACAGAAACCACCUCAACAAAGCUUCUCUCGGCUUCUUUCUCACAACUUUCCACGGCAGCCAUGCUUUCGUGUUUAACACCAUCUUUUUCCUCGGCAGCUCUCAUUUUCCCGAUUCCUUUCUCUUCGACACCAUCUUUCUCGUCGUCGUGGCACGUUGCAAGCUCUUUCUCGUUUUCGCCACCAUCGUCAUUGGCUGCCGCGGCUACUUUUAAACCCACCUUUUGCGUGCCGAUCCCUUCGAGGCAUUUCUCCUCGGCAAUCCUCUCACCAUCUUCUACUUUUCUCUCGUCCUCCUUGCUUUUCUCCUCCUUCUCCAGCGCUUCCACUUCGUGCUGUAGAUUGCAUCGUGCCUUGUAGAUAAGCUUGCUAUCAAUGUCCACUCCCACCAUGCUCUUACAGCAAAACUUCACCGCCAGCGCGAUCGUCACAUGCCCCUCGUUGCACCCAAUGUCGAGACAAUCCCUGUUCUCGAUCCAUUCUUGCUUGAAAACACUGACUCUCGGAUCCUCCUCCAGCGUCUUCCCGACCCGGUAGCCAUAGUAGAACGGAUAAUUCCCAUAGACAUAUUCCGGUUUCUUCCGUUUCUUCCCGGAAUCCUGGCGCUGCUGCUGCUGCGAUCCCUGCAUCUUACCUCGCCCUAGCGCUCGAUCAAUGGAUCGAUCGAUCGGGAGCCCGCCUAAAACCCCGGAAAUUUCAAGAACCCUGGCGCCCAAGAGCCCUAAUCUCCUGGAUCUUUAUUGGAGAUCGAAUCGACGGCUAGGAUGGAGUGAUCGGGCGGUUAGAAGAAACUCUCGUGAAAGGGUGUUGGUGAUCAUCCCCUAUAUGAAUGAAGAGACGAUGGGCAAGGAAUAUUUUAGGGCUCGCGGACAACCUUGAUAGGGUGCGAUCGAUCGAUCGCUGGGCGCGAUGGAGCCGUGCCCGUCGCUCACAUCCAACAAGAGGGUAACGCCGCCAGGGAUCGCGAUCUCGCGGAGCCUCAGCGGCCGGCAGUUCCAGUAUGGAUUCUACCGAUUCCUCGUCCUCGCGCUCACAUUCGUGGCCUACGCAUGCUACCACGCGUCGCGCAAGCCGCCAAGCAUCGUCAAGAGCGUGCUCGACCCCGAGCGAUCGAGCAGCGGUGAGAAUAAGGGCUGGUAUCCAUUCAAUGGCAGGAACGGCAAGGUCAGGCUCGGCGAGGUGGAUCUCGCGUUCCUCGCCUUCUACGCCUUCGCAAUGUUCUUUGCAGGGCAUCUGGGUGACACGAUGGAUCUCAGAGUUUUUCUCAGCAUUGGCAUGGUUGGCAGUGGGAUCUUCGUGUGCCUCUUUGGCAUGGCCUACUGGUGGAACAUCCACGACUUCUACUACUUUAUGUUCGUCCAGAUCAUGGCGGGGCUGUUCCAAGCGACAGGGUGGCCAUCGGUCGUCGCCAUCGUCGGGAACUGGUUUGGAAAAUCUAAGCGAGGUCUCAUCAUGGGCAUCUGGAACGCUCACACCUCAGUUGGAAACAUCAUCGGAUCGCUCGUCGCGGCUAGCGCGCUGGAGCUCGGCUGGGGAUACUCUUUCAUCUUUCCGGGAGUUUUGAUAAUCGUAGCCGGGAUCCUGGUGUUUCUGUUCCUGGUGGUGGAGCCAGCGGACGUGGAUUUGCCGAGCCCAGCGGAGGUGGAGGCGACCGAGAACGCAACAAAGGUGGCGGUGUCGUCGAGCUCGCUGAGAAUCAGCGAACCUGCUCGAGACGACUUGGAAGCUCCUCUCAUCUCUUCGGCUCAGCAGCACAGCCGAGCAAAGAGCCCCGAGCGUGGAAAGGCCGUGGAGUUUUUACAGGCUUGGAAGAUCCCAGGAGUUCUUCCUUUUGCGUUUUGCCUGUUCUUCUGCAAGCUCGUCGCCUACACUUUCUUGUACUGGCUGCCGUUCUACAUCAAGCAGACUAGUAAGUCUACCGCAUCCCCAUUCUCAGGUAACACAACAUAUAGAACUGAAGCUUUCUUUUAAUCUAUCUUCCUUGACGAAGUUGACGAACUUGGUGGUGUUCUUGCAGGAGUCGGAGAGAAAUCCCUGUCGGAAAAGACUGCUGGGAACCUGUCAACACUUUUCGACAUCGGUGGAGUCUUUGGUGGGAUCCUAGCCGGCUACGCUUCGGACAGGCUCAAAGCGCGAGCAAUCACAGCGGCAACCAUGACUUACCUGGCUAUUCCAGCGCUGCUUCUCUACCACCGGUACGGAUCAACGUCGAUGGCGUCCAGCAUCGCCCUGAUGAUGAUCACGGGGAUGCUCGUCAAUGGCCCCUACGCGCUCAUCACGACCGCGGUGUCAGCCGACCUCGGAACUCACAGCUCGCUCAAGGGCGACGCGAGAGCUCUGGCAACAGUGACUGCGAUCAUCGAUGGGUGUGGAUCGCUGGGGGCGGCGAUCGGGCCAGUGUUGACAGGAUAUCUCUCCACCAGCGGCUGGGACAAAGUUUUCUACAUGCUGAUGGUGGCGGCGCUGGUGGCGGGCCUGCUGUUGACGAGACUGGUGGCGGCAGAGAUCCGGGAGAAAGUUAGCAGCUACCAUUCGCGAGGUAUGGACUCUUUCCAGUUCUUGAAAGAUGGUAAUAACGCUGCUACUGCUGCUGCGAAGCUGGAGGGUGAUCGUCUUCCUCCAGUCUAGGAUCAGGAUCUCUCUUGUUCUUGAUGAGAGUUUUUGUGGCUCCUCGGUUUUGGCAGAUUGAUCGCGAGCUAGAACAGAAGCGUUCCGUACGUCCUUGAAAAGGGACGUACGGGGAAAAGAACUUUUGUAAACUAAGUGUACUUAUUAACUGAUCUAAACCACAUUUCGAGUUCAAUCUGAGACGUAGAUGGUAGGUUUCCGCUUUUGGCCGUCCGAUCCAAGCGAAGCCCUAGUUUUUCGUGACUAGUUUAUUUUUCCCCUAAACCACCAUAAUAAGCAAGGAGAGAAGUAGAUUUUUCGAAGCACAACAAAUAAGAGAAAUGACGAGUUUUUCUGGUGAGCUAAGGCUGAAACUUCUGCCUCCAGCCAGGGCUCUAACAAAAGGGGUUUAUGGACACCACCACCAUCGGUGAGUAGUGUUCCAUAGUCACCACCAUGGAAACCAUCAUCCAUUGGUGUGUGGCCACCAACUCCAUGGCCCCUGGAGAGGAAGUCUGGACCACCGACACUAAGCAGGACUCACAAUUAGCAAUGACUUCAGGGCCACCAUCAUUGGCAACUAGUGAGGGUACUCAGCUUCACCACCUUUGUCUUCAACACCAACUAAGGAGAGAGGGCCAGUGUUUCCUUCCUUGUAUUGCUCCCUUUCACAAUGGUACAUGCAGGACUCGACCUACACAACAACCACCAACUCCUCGGCUAGCAAACUCUACUCCAGCAGACCACCACCUCCACCUCAGCCAUCACCACUUUCUGGCACACACAGCGGCAGCAGCAACGGUCCAGUGGCGGAAAGCGCACCACUGCCACCUUCUCAGUGUUUCUCAACACACAGUGGUGCACCACAAUCAUCAAAAGCUGGUCGCUCUUCAGGCUCUCUAAGACUCCACAUAUAUGUGUUCUUCUCCAUUGCUGGACACCUCCUUUUACAUAAUUCUCGCAACACAACCAUCAUCCUCCACCACUGGGUGAUCAUUCUUGGCCUUCCUCACCACGCAAUGGCAGUCACGGUCUAGGACACUAUAGGGAAAGCACACCACCACUACUUUCUGCACAUAGUGGUGCACCACCACCGCCAAAAGUUGGUUGCUCUUCAAGCUCUCAAGGCUCACCGCCCAUUGCUAGACACCUCCUUUUACAUAAUUCUCAUAAGAGAGGUAAACAUAGCCACCAUCCUUCACCAUCGGGUGAUCAUCCUUAGGCUUCCUCACCACAUGGUGGCAGCCAUGGUCCAGGACACCAUAGGGAAAGCCAAAAGCUGGUCGAGAUUCACCUCCUAGCAAUUUCAAGUAUGUGUUCCUCUGCAAUGCUGGCUACCUCCUUUACAUUGAUCCUUGCAGGAGAUCCACCAUCAUUCCACACUACCUCCUUCACCACCGGAUGAUCCACAUAGUGGCAGGCACUGACGCCAUGGGAAAAGCGCACCACCGCCACAUUCCUCUGCACACAGUGGCAACAGUGGUGCACUGCCACCACCAAAAGCUAGUCACUCUUCAGGCUCUUAAGGUUCACCUCCCAGCAAUUUUGAGUAUUGUGGUCAUUUGCAUGGUUUGUUACCUCCUUGACGUAAUGCUUGUAGGCAUUCUGGAGCUCCUCCAUCUCAGCCACCACCUCCAACUCACAAGCAUCACCACCAUUCUCAUGGUGAUCUUGGAAGUGUCAAUUGACGUCCAUAUGGUGAUUCUAGAACUUUCGAUUGGCAUCCACAAUGUGAUCUUGGAAGGAUCAAUCGGAACCCUUACGAUGAUCUAGGAAUUCUAGCAGCCUCAACAGUCCCAACAGUCCUAACAGGCAACAGCUUGAGCCCCCUUCGAGCUCCUCAAGGUGCACACUUCUCUUUAGCAACAACAGAAAUAGCAACCUGGUGUGGAUCACGUUUGUGGCCAUUUCCCCAUCAUCCUUGGCCUUGUGGUCAUGCUCUUCAUCAAGUGGAGACACUCUCGACGACACCAAAGAAGGGACAAACCUUUUCUUGUCUAUAGUGUUGUGGCUGACAUUGAUGAGCAUGACAGAGCAGCAGUCUAGCAGUGAUUCAAGGUAAGCUUUAAAAUCAAAGUUAUUUUCUUCAUAAAUUCUAAUGUUAUCUUUUAUAACCGAAGCUCAUUCACCAUCAGCGCCAUUCUACGUUGUAGCUAUAUCUAAAUCUCUAACUGAGCCACAUUGAGCAGCAGCAAUAUUCAAUAUUGAGCAACAACGAUACAAUGCUCAACAUCAAGCACAAAUGUGUUGCCUUUGAAAUCUCUUACAAAUUCGAAAAUGUCAUCUUAAAAAAUCCAACAACAAGAGGGUUAAAUUUAUUUUCUGAAUUAUUUGUCCAUCUUCUAGAAUUUUUUUAAUGGCAAUUCUCUUUUUCCCAUUUGGUAUUAUUUUAAAGCAUAAAUUAACCUAUAAAUAAAAAAAUGAAUGUGUUCAAAACAUAGUUGCCUUGCAAUAUUAUAUUGACAAAGUUCAAAUGGAGAAGGAUUGAUUUUUUCAACACUUCUUUGUGAGUUAGUUUCUAUUUGACAAAUCCCUUUUUAGCCAUAACAUUUUUUUCUUCUCCAAAAGACAAACAAUGUGUAAAUUAUAAUUUUUUCUUUUCUAAUUUGCUAGAUUACUUUAGCAUUUUUACCUUAGCCUCAGUUAAGUUCAUUUGCUAAAGCCUAACUUGUAUUUGAUCUUAUUUAACUUUAGCUACUCAUUGCACAAGUAGUAAAGUGUUAGUCAUUUAUCCAUGGAUUUCUAAAUUUUCUUUUAAUCCCUUUUUUCAGGUUAAAUUAAAUUUAAAAUUUGGCUACAAACAUAUUAAACCUAUAAUUUUUUAGGUAUAACAAGAUUUGGUCAUAAAACUUUAUAAAUCCUAAACCUUAUGUACCUUUUUUUAAUUUGAACCUCAAAAAGAAACACCAUACACUAUAGCCUGAAAUCGGUACCCUUACUUUCCACUUUCAUCCCAACGAAAAAGCCCAAGCCCAAAAGAAGGACUAAAAUUACUCUUUAAACACUUCUUUAUAAUGCUUCUAACAUUGGUCUUGGAGGUGUGUUAACAUAUCCUGACUACACUUGACCUUUCAUUUUACACUUUAGGAGCAUCUUUUGCACUCUUUGAAUCCAUACUCACUCCCACCUAAGGCUAUUAACUUCUAGUCUCCUUCAACUCAAUUUGCAAGCACCAUUGAAAAAUCUUUAACCUCACUUUCCCAAUUAUACUUUUAAAACCCAUUGCAACCUGACAACUCCACCAAGCCCUAGUUUUUCAAAAGCAAGAGAUUUUUAGAGCAUAAAGAAGGAAAUCCAUCAAAGUCAGUAAGGGGAGAAGAUAACAAGUAGGAGAAACAUGGGGCAGAUUCUUCAGCAUUUAGAACAAGCACAACAAGCAAGAAAAAUAACAAGCUUUGCUGGUGAGGUAAGGCUGACACUUCUGCCUCCAGCCAGGGAAGGGGCUUAUGGACACCACCACCACUAUUGAGUAAAACUCUACAAUCACAACCAUGGAAACCAUCGUUCAUCAGUGCAUGGACACCAACUCCAUUACCCUAGGGAGGAAGUCUGGACCACCAACACCAAGCAGGACUUCAACCAUCACCACCAACAAUGAUUUCAAGGCCACCAUCAUUGGCUUCCACCACCUUUGUCUUCAACACCAACUAAGGAGAGAGGGCCAGCGUCUCAUAACAAUCUCAGGUAUGUUCCUCCAUUGUGGCUUGCUUGCUUUCACAAUGGUACAUACAAGACUUGGCAUACACAACAACCACCAACUCCUCGGCUAGCAAGCUCCACUCCAGCAGGCCGCCACCACUUGGGUCGAGCUCCUCUGCCUCAGCCAUCACCACGUUCUGGAGCACACAGCAGCAGCAGCAAUGGUCCAGUGGCAGAAAGCACACCACUGCCACCUUCUUAGUGUUCCUCAACACACAGUGGUGCACCAAAGCUGGUCGCUCUUCAGGCUUUCGAGACUCCAGCUAUCCUAGGUAUGUGUUCUUCUGCAUUGUUGGACACCUCCUUUUACAUAAUUCUCGCAAGAGAGGUAAACAUAGCCACCAUCCUCCCCCAUCGGGUAAUCAUCCAACACCACCACCACUUUCUGCACACAGUACCACCACCGCCAAAUGUUGGUUGCCCUUCAAGCUUUCAAUCCAAUAUAUGUAUUCCUCUGCAUUGUUAAACACCUCCUUUUACAUAAUUCUCACAAGAGAGGUAAACACAGCCACCAUCCUCCACCACUGGGUGAUCAUCCUCGGCCCUCUUAGCCUUCCUCACCACAAGGUGGCAGCCACGGUCUAGGAUGCCAUGCACCACUGCCACACAGUGGUAGCAAUGGUGCAACGCCACUGCCAAAAGCUGGUCAAGGUUUCACCUCCCAGCAGUUCCACGUAUGUGUUCCUCUGCAAUUCUGGCUACCUCCUUUACAUUGGUCCUCGCAGGAGAUCUCAACACGGCCACCAUCAUUCCACACCACCUCCUUCACCACUAGAUGAUCCAUACAGUGUUAGCCAUUGAACCCAAGGGAAAAGCACACCGGCUUGUUACCUCCUUGACAUAAUGUUUGUGAGCAUUUUGGAGCUCCUCCAUCUCAGCCACCACCUCUAGCUCACAAGCAUCAUCACCAUUCUCGUGAUGAUCUUGGAAGUGUCAAAUGGCGUCCACAUGGUGAUCCUAGAACUUUUGACUAGCAUCCACAUGGUGAUCUUGGAAGUGUUGAUUGGCAUCCACACAACGAUCUUGGACAUUUUAACUGGCAUCCACACGGUGAUACUAGAAGGGUCGAUUGGAACCCUCACAAUGAUCCAGGAAUUCCUAGCAAUCCCAACAGUCCCAGCAGCCAACAACCCCCUUCCAGCUCUUCAAGGUGCACACUUCUCUCUGGCAACAACAGGAGCAACAGCUUUGGUGUGGAUCCCGUUUGUGGCCAUUGUGCUCAUCGUCCUUGCCCUUGUGGUCAUGCUCCUCAUCAAGUGGAGACACUCUCGACGACACCAAAGAAGGGACAAAGCUUUUCUUGUCUACAAUGUUGUGACCGACAUUGAUAAGUAUGGCAGAGCAGCAGUCUAGCAGUGAUUCAAAGCUUUAAAAUCACUAAUUGCGCAUCAUAUCUGUAUAUCCGUUGCUGCUUGAUGUUGACUGGAGAUUUGUCCGGUGCGCGCUUUUCUGCUGCUGCUGAAAUUGAGCUUUGGCUAUAAAACAUAACACAGAAUCUGUGAAGAGAACAAUUUUGAUCUAAUGCCCAACAUCAAGCACAAAUUCGAAGGUGUCAGCUUAAAAAGUCAAGGAGAACAAAGUUUAGACUUAUUUUCUGAUUAUUUGUCCAUCUUCUAGAUUGGUUUUAAUGGCAAAUCUCUUUUUAGCCAUUCUUUUGAAGAAUAAUUUUAAAUUUAUAUAAACAAACCUCGCCUCAAAAAAUGCAUCCAGGGAUGCAUUCUUCAUACAUCAAUUUCUCAACCUUGCUCUGCCUAUUUUCUUCUCUGUGUUCUAAGAAUCGAAGAGCAUCAUCCUUCUCCAUACCAUAUUUACAAAUUAAAACAAAGCUACUACUUGCUCGCAAUGAAGACAGAGUCUUUCCAGAGGCCUCCAGCGUGUCUGCAUACCUGGAAAGCUCUAUUUUGCCAAGAAAGUUUCUCAUCUCAAAAGCUUUCUGCUUAAGCACAAGAGUGAAUUCUUUGAAAUGAGAGAUUUCUGACACUCACCCUUUGCUGCUUAGUAAGGCCCAGCGCUUUCACAUCUUUCCUGGUCAUUGACUUGAGCGAUUCAACGCUGUCCCAUCCCUUCCUGACAAAGAUCUUGGAUGUUCCAGCAAGAACACUGCUGCCGAGGUAGUCAUCUAGAUUAUCAGGGGCAGAUCUAUCCUUUGCUUCUGUGCCCUGCAUUGUUGCUCGUCUUGUUGAGAAGAAAGAAGCUCUUUAAAAUGCCCUGGUAGUCAAAUAGAAAGUAGAAUCAAAGUGACAUUAAUCCUCCUCCUAAGCUUUAAAAGUAAAAGUCUCACAUCCCAACUUUGUCAAGAUGAUGUCGCAAACAUUAUGUGAAUUGACGACAAAUUGCUGCAUGCCCUGCCCGUCAGCAUGAUACGCGACUUAUAGUUUAAAUAAAGGAGAAUAGAGGGAAAGAGAGAAGAAUGUUUGCAUGACCAAUGCUACCAAACAACAAGAUCUCUCCACGCAUUCAUUCUUCACCUCACGAUCGCUCCCUACGUCCAGCUAUUGGAGGGAUCCUCUGAGAUCUUCAUGAAAGAGGUUGUGAUCAUAGAGAUUAUUAUAGAACAAGCCUGAAUGCAGAAAGCUCAGAUGCAUGCGUGGUCCUUCAUGGAGCACAGUACUGAAGAACAGCCUUCAGCAGAAGCACCAAGAAAAAAAAGAGAAUAUGAUUCUUCCAAGGCCAUCCUAAAGAAAAAUCGCUUUGAUCCUGGAUCCUGGGAAUCGCUUGUGCCCUCGCCACCCGGGAUCUGUUAUAUUCUAAGAUUGUCAUUCUGUGUUUACUGUUACUGUGCUUCGACUAGCAUAGAACCUAACCUAUCUCCUUUCAACAAUGUGACAUAAACUUGACUCUCAUGGUAGGUAAAAUGUCACACUAAAAAAAUAACAGGAUACAAAGUUGUGGACAAAAGUUCCUCACUUCUCUUAGAGGAGUUUGUAAAGCAAAACACGCAACCUUUAGAUCUUCAACGCUCUCCCCCCUGAAAAACUCCAGAACAAAUUUAGCUUUCCCAACCCGCUUAAUUAAGAAAAUUUCUCAGCGCAAUUAAGUAAAUGGCUUUCGAAAGGCUGGAGACCAUCCACCACAUUGCAUCACUAAAUACUAUUUGGAAAAUAGAGUUCCUAACAUUUUCACUCAAACUUGUGAAAUCUAUAUAAUCCACAAUUCACUCAGUAGAUUACCAAGGACUUGUCCGUCUGUGCUCAGCACAUUGUAGCUGUGGAGAAGCAUGCACAACUCACUAGCUGUUUGAAACAACUCCUAGUUGAAAGUGGAAACUAGCUCACAAAGAAAGUGAAAACAAUGAUCUCCUUGAUCACAAGUUCUCACAAGAGCUCAUCAAAGAGGUUUCACAAACAUUGCCCGAUUCACUUGAACUAACGACAAAUCCCCGAUGGGCUGAAUUGCCUGUCCACCAGCAACUACCACUGGCUCCCGCGUGUGAUCAUCUAGAACAGAACUUACCACUUAGAUUGAGCGCCAGGAAUUUGUGUGAUCAAACUUACCAAACAACGUGUUGAAGGACGAAGCUGGGGGUGUUGCCAGAUGGUUCAGGCUCACGUAAGUGAGGAGAGUAAACGGAAUUGCAAGCAUGAAAAGCCCAGGAACCACAACAGCCCAAUACCUGCGAGAGCUAGAGUAAAACCAAAGGCACUAGCUUUGUAGUGUUUCCAAAGCUUACCUGUCGGGAUAGUACGUUAUUCCAAGAUAAUGAAGCCAAGGUUCGGGGAGAUACGCCCAGAUAACAUACACUCCUGGAUUCGUAGUUCGCCACUGUCAGCGAUUCAGAUUGAGAAUCUAAAGUAUUCACUCACCAAAUGCGACUAUGGUUGAGAUCGCUCCCACGAAUGCAUAAACCUCUGCGGGCUUUGUUCCUUGACUCUUGCGUUUCUCGUGAUCCUACAAUCCAGGAAAAAAGAAUAAUGGAAAAGGUUGAUCGAUCGCUUGAUAUACCAUUCACUUGUCGGCCUUCUCUCCGGGCCGUGGAACUUUCUUGUACUCGAAAUUGUUGAUGUCUACGUGCUGCUGGAUUGCCUGCAUUCCAGAAACAAUUAAAUCUUAAGCAAGGAUCAAGAGCACGCGGUUAAUUACCUUGAGCUCUUCCUCGAGUGUGGUGGGCUUUCUCUGCUUGAAGUUCUUGAGAAUCCCCUCCUUGGAAAGGGCCUGCGUCACUUUUAGAAGCUCCCAAUCCCUCUCGUCGCGCUCGUGGACGACCUCAGUUCUAGAAUCCCAGAAAAUAAAUUAAAGCGAAAAAAAGAAUGCUUGUUACCUCCCAGCAACGAUCUGAGCGAUGCCAACGUAGCCAAUGACGGACCCAGCUAUGAUCGGGAGGCCAAAAAGAAAGAACCGAUUCGACCCACUCAGCCUCCGUCCCUUCUGGAUCCCCCGCACAGUGGACAUUUGCUCUAAGCAAACCCUACUAGGUAGCUGAAAAAAAUCUUGUCACCUUGAAAGAAAAAAUUGGAUUUUUGAAAAAAAAAAUUCGGGGCGAUUUCUGUGUAAAUAAAGAGCUACAUUAGCUUGCAAACGUAGGUAAGUGAGACUAGUGUUAGAAAUCUACCAACAUGGCUACGAGAAGAAAGAAGAAAAUCUUCAUGAUUCCUUGAGAACUUCCUCCGGAAUAUCUUCCUCUUCCUCGUUCUUGAGCUCUUCAUCUUCCAUCUCUGCAAGCCAAGCAAAAUGCAAAGAGAAGAACGAAUAAGAAAAACCUGGACGAGAAACGCAAAUGGUACUUACUCUGGAUUUCCUCGUCGGUGAGCUCCGGAGCGUCCUCUCCCUCGACAGCCGGAGCUUUGUCGUCGACUUCUGCCGCUGCUGCGUCGUCUUCCACAACAAUCACUGGAAUCGUUGCGUCUUUAUCCGUCGUGGGAUAGUAGUACUCGGAUUGAGUGUCCUGGAAACACAAACAAGAUGGAAAGAAAAGAGAGGAAGAUCAAGUAAAGUUCUUAUAACCAAAGAGAAAAAGUGAGAACCUGGUAAGAAGCCAUUGGAACCUUGGUACAGAACUGAAAAGCCCAAAGCCCCCUUUAAAAACGCACUGACUGUACCGAAACUCACUGAGAGUGAGACACGCUUCACUGGCAAACUUUCCAUGCAAUGGAAGAAUAUGCAGCUUGAUUCAUGGCAGCCUCCGAUUGGUUACAAAGAAAUAGAGGAGAAACCAAAAUUUUUACCACGUACCUUUAAAGAGCGCUCGAGAAAGUUUUGAUAUUACAAGUCAGUAUUGGUGGUGAAAGUUUUGACAAAACUCGCCAGUAGCUCCUUUCCUCCCAGCUCGUGAAUCUUGGCCAGUGCACGCUUCUCGAUCUGGCGAACUCGUUCUCUAGAGAGGUUGAAAUGGUGGCUCAGCUCCUCCAAAGUUCUGUCCCUUCCAUCGCCAAUGCCAUAGCGGAGUGUCAGGACUUCCUUCUCCCUGGGCUUCAGGAGAUUGAGCACUUUGUCGAGCUGUUCCUUUAGUAGCGCCUUCUCGGCAACUAGAAGAGAGGACUCUACUUCCGGGUCCGGUAGGAUUUCCUGUAGCAAAAACAAGAAAAGAAAAGAAAAAAAUUAACAAUUUUUUUAGUGUCGCAAGAAUAUGGUUUUGCUUACCAAAAGAGUGACGUUGUCGCAACCUGGUACAUUGUCGUCCAAUGACUUUGGAUGUCUCAUAAGAUUGGCAGCCAGAUGGACUUUUUGCGCAGUCGUUCCAAGGAUCGUGGCCACUUCCUCGUUUGUUGGAAAUGUACCACGUUCUUCGAAGAUCCUGGCUCUCGUCUUUAAAACUCGAGUGUGCGUAUCAAAUAGAUGCAUCUGAAAGACAAUGUUUCUUUUAGAUUUGAACUGUACUUCUCGAAGUGAACAGGAGCUUACAGGCACUUGGCACAUUAUGCUGCGUUUCACCGAUGCCCUCCUUACGGAUAGCUCAAUCCACCAAAGUACGUACGUUGAAAGCCGGAAACCUCGAGACGUGUCGAACUUUUCAACACCGUGAAGUAAACCGUUGAUCCCUUCCUGCAGUACAAAGCCAAGUUGAUAAAUGCAUGAAGAAAAACUAGCUCGACAGAGAAACUUUGAUACUUCACCUGUAUAAGAUCCUCUAUCGUCGUCCCCUUCAAACCAAACUUUCGGGCCACUUUGAUCACGAGCCCGAGAUUUGAAGAGACCAUGUUGGUCCUGCAUCUUUUUGCAUGUUUGAGCUUCCUCCGAAGCUCUUGAGGUUCUAUUUUCAAUGCCUCGGCCCAUUCUCUGAAUGUUGGUUCACGUCCAAGCUGCUCGCUCAUGCUGGUAAACAAGGCUUCCAUUUUUAUAUGCUCCUGAGAUUAAAAAAACAACGCACGAAACAGUAAUUUAGCCAGCAAGCUCAGCAUUUCAUCAUAUAUCUACAAAGAAAGUACCUUGAAUUCCCACCUGAAUACCAUUGAUUGCUUCCAGCUCCUCGGCAGCAGACAUUCGAGUCCUCCUAGAUAUUUGUGGACAGUACCGGUCUCUGCCUACGACUUUUCUCGAUCCGGCUGGAAAAAGUCCUUUGAUCGUCUCCCCAUCUCCGUCCUCCAUCUCGUUCUUUCUCUUCUCUGCUGCCUGUGCUCUUUUCAUCAUCCUUUGUUUGCGCCUCCUAGAGGUAACCGCUACUUCCACGUUGUACUUCCUCUCUAAGCUCUCCGCCUCUGUUGAAAGAAGUUCAUUGGCUUGCAAUGCAGUUUCUUCCGCUUCUUCUGUUGUCUCAAUCCUCGCCACCUCUGGAAGUUGGAUGCUCUGCUCGAGUCCCAAAGUUGAUCCAGCAAGUGGUUCGUUCGCGAGUUCCAUUUCGCCAGAAUCAUCAGCAAUGGCCUCGGCAGCUUCUCGAGCUGCUAGAACCGCCGCCCUUGCAAGAGCCAUGGCUUCCUCGGCCGCGGCAAUAGUCGUUGCCUCGUCACUAGCCAACCAAGCCUCAGUCUCUGUAAAACUGGAAGUGGUGGUCACUGCUCUCACUUGUAAGGUGCCAGCCACCUUCCAUCUUCGUUCUGGGCCUUCGUGAUUCCUAUGCGGCAAAGAACUCCCAGCUAAGAAAAUAAACUUCUAUGGCAUCAGUAAACGACUUACCAUGCUAGAACCGAGCUCCAAAGCCGUGGAUUUGCAUUGUGAUGAUCCAAUUUUGCGAAGCAUCCCCUCCUUCUGGAGCAAGGCUUUUGACGUCUCAACGAAGAAGUGCCUGGAAAUUGGAUAGAAACCACUCAGCGAGAGAAUUCCCACUUCUUCCCACUUACUUGGAAUGCCAGGCGAUAGAACAGAGCUACAUUCCAGCACUGCGCCGCCAGUCGCAGCUGCCAAGCCUGCCACCACUGCCAUUGCCUCAAUGCUACGACCUCGUUCUCAUAUUUCCAGAUCCUAGUCCUCAAAUUCGCCGCCAUUGCCCGAAUGCGGCCAUGGCAGCGCUUCCAGUCCAAGAAUCCGCUUACAAAAUAGAGGACGAUAUUUGUGCAGCGCCAUCGCUCCCAUUUCCUCGGCGACGAACUGCCAUAUCCACAAGAUUUUCGUUAAACCCUAGCAGUCGUGGCAAAAGAACCACCAUGUUAAACCUCAGCCGCUGGAUGUCUCCAGCUCUCGACGGUCUGGAUCCACAUCUGGUUGAGUGGGCCAGAUUCGCCCUGUUAUCCAGACAUAUCUUAGCCUUCCAAAAUAGCAAUAGCAAAAUUGGUUUUGUUUCUCAUAUUUUUGAAGAUUAAGAUUCUAACUGCUUUUAUCAAGCGGGGAUAGCUCAGUUGGGAGAGCGUCAGACUGAAGAUCUGAAGGUCGCGUGUUCGAUCCACGCUCACCGCAUUGCUUUUCUUCUCUGUUUUAACUUUUGACGUAUGAGGAAUCUUUUGUCGACAACUUUGUUGAUGUCAUUGUAUGGUACAUUUGAGUGUGAUAUUUUACUAUCUCCUUGAAUUCCGAUGUUGCUAGAGAGACGCUAAGGUGACACCACCUGAAUGACAAUCUGACAAGAUCAUGAAGUUUCACGGAUGGAACUUGUUUAUGCUAGCAUGGUGACUAUAGAAGAUCCACAUUGCCUUUAUUCCAUAUGAUCCAAAGGCGUCACUCACUCGUCCUUGUGACGAUUGACACAUUCGUCACUGAGUGAAGCGCAUCGCAGGAAUCCAUUGAUGUUGCCAAUGCAAUCGUUGAGAUCCAGAGUGCUUGCCACAUACUCGCCAUCGGUGUUCUUGCACUCGCCCUCCAUCAUGGUGCCCGACGUGAGAUACUCAAUCCCCCGGCAGUUCUCGAGCCCGUAUGUGAACCUCUCCCCGCAUUUGAGCUUCCCAUCCUCGCCAUAAGUGAUGCACUUGGAGAUAUCAACGGCUGAAUAGAACUUCCAUCCCCUGUUGUUCAUGCAUUCGGCUUCGAGCACUGGCCCCUUGACAAAAAUGUCUUUGCAGCUGCCUGCAAAACCUUCACAAGCCUGCGAAAGAGUUCCAAGAUCAGAAAACUCGAAUUGACAAGAUCAUCUCACUUGCCUUGGACGUAGAAGCAGUCAGUGCUGCCACAAGCAGAAACAAGAGGAGCAUAGAAUUGCCAAGAGGAGAGGAAGAGGAAGCCAUGAUACCAGAAGGCGAGAUCGCCUCGGAUAAUAUAGUACUAGACUAGCAGGUUCUGGGUUCGAAACCAUUGUUCCUAAGUUUCAUAUCCACAUCAAUCUGCCAGCUACAUGCACAACGAUAACGCUAAACCCUAAACCCCAAAGAGAAUAUUUUCAAGUAUAAGCAUAUCCAGUUCCAUCAACUUCUUACACACAUCGACACUUGUCACCAGUGCAAUCGACACGCGGCUGCACCAUGCCUCAAAAAGGGCGAACUUGGAGCAUUUGUGAGCGCGAAGAGAGAGAACGAACGGAUUAAUCGAUCGAUCGAAGCAAGCAUUUCCAACGUUCACAGCAUUCACGCAGCAACAAUGGCGUUUAGGUCAGUUCUCGUCGCCUCGAAGAAGAAUGCCCUCGGUCAUUUGCUCGUGAAGAAGGAGUUCCUGGCAACAUCGCCUCUCCUGCUCAACAAGGAGGCGGGCACCGCCGAGUCCAUGGCGCACAAGGUCGGGGACAAGGUCGAGAAAGCCGGGGAGAACCUCAAGGAGACGGCCAAAGAUUCUAAGGAACCGGCCGAGAGCGGAAUGCGCGAACAGGUCAGGAGCGCCGCGGAGAAGAUUGGCGACGCCACCGCGAGCGCGGGCGACAAGAUCGAGCACUCGAUGGAGAGCGAAGGCGGCGGCGAGGAGAAAUCCAAGCUCAAUCUCGAGGACAAGCAAGUCCUCUCCAACUAAACCCUCUUGUUAAAUUAGGGUUCUUUGUAAUCCGGCCAAGUUUCGCCACGUGUUAUAACAAAGGCUAUCUUUUCUAGUGAAUUGAAUUGAAUUUAAAACAAUAAAGUUUUUAACUCGUCGGUGGUUAUACUGGCUUAUUUAUUCAAUGGGCACCUGUCGCGUGGAUUUGUCACAUACGUGGCAAAGAUCGAGGUGCCAUGCGUCGGCAUCUCAGGGCCUCUCGAUUUGUAUAAGAGCUGAAAGCUCCGCACUCUGGAACUCAUUCUAUCUUCGAUCGAUAUAUCUGUUUUAUCUAGAUCUUUGGCUUUGUCUUGUUUUCUCGAUCACAAGUUCUCUUCGCAGUUCUUUUGAUUCUCGCAGCGCUCAUGGCCUCGAUGAUGGAGAAGAUUGGUGAGAAGUUCGGCAAGAAGGACGACGAGCACAACAAAUUGGGCGGGCAGACGCACGAGACGCACGGACUGGGGCAGCAGACUCACGGUCAGGGCGCCGGCUAUGGGCAGGAGGCCGGCUACGGGCAACACGGCCAGGGCGUCGGCCACGGGCAGGGCGUCGGUCACAACCCGGGAUCUACUCCCUAUGGCGCCACCACUGGCACCACCGGCACUGGUCACAACCCGGGAUCUACUCCCUAUGGCGCCACCACUGGCACAAACCCGACUAGCGGCCACACCGCUACCGGGCAGCCCCAGAAGAAGGAGGGGCUUAUGGACAAGAUCAAGAAGAAGAAGAACCAGCACAAGGAGCGCAAGGAGGGCGACAAGAGCAGCAGCAGCAGCGAAUCCGACUAGAGAUGAUAAAAUUUCCUCUACUAUGAAUAAGUUUCCACCUGUGCUUUCUUCUUCAGAUGCUGAAGAAAGAAGAGUAAAAAAAAUGUAAUGUUUUUCCUCUUUGUUUAUAAAAAAAAACCGCAUACUUUAUUGUACAAUGUGGAAAAUGUGUUCCUCUCUCUUUUAAAAGUAGAAUAUUCUGUUGUUUGCAACAAAAUAUUCCUCGG